rnacentral:lncRNA from 1 species
AAAGAAAGAGUAAACCACCUAGGCAAAGUACCGCUCCUCGCUAGCUAGCUAAGCGAUCCCCUUGCCGCGAUCCCGUGCCUCCGCCGGUGCCGAAGGCUCUGAAAAGUAAACCAUAAAACAGGGGCGUGAGAACUAUUAAAAAUAGUUCCCAGUGGGCAAUUACUGACUUCAGUGAAUGCACCACGAGGCCCAAAGCUACAAAAGAUGUCAGUGACUAUAAAAGUAGAAAAGCGAAAGGUAAGUAAAAAUGUAACUUACUACAACAUGAUAUCUCUACUUAGCAUAAUUAGCAUAAGUAUGAAGCAACUAUGCAUGAAGUAAAAGUCUCCAACUAUCAUAAUGUUCACAAUGCGAAAUAGUAAAGUUCCGUUGUUUACUAUUCUAGUCAAUGUCCAAGUAGUACACUAAGUCAUCAUCUGUCCACAUGUCAUAAUGAAUACUCAAAGUCAAAUCUGAAGAGACCCACCCGAAGGCUGUCUAUGGCCCUGAGACCCACCCGUAGGCUGUCUGGCCGGUGCCGAGCCUAAUGGCCCCGUGGUAGUCAUCAUCCCCACCCUAGGAAUGAGCCUGUCCCACGGCAAUCCACUUCGGCGCCCAAUCCCGCACGGCGAAUAUGAAUCGCGAUGGCUAUCUCCGGAGUGCCGGCUUGUAGGGAGCGACCCUCACAAGCAUGUGCGAAUGAGCACAAUGGCAAGUAGUCAAACGAUCUGUCGCAAGUACCAAGUCCUCAUGUCUAAUAACAUGGAAUGUGUCAAGUAUCUCAAUGGCCUAUCCCUAUGUCAUCAUGUCUCUAACAUGGAAUAUAGCAGAUAUGUAGUGGCCUAUCAAUAUGUCUCUAUGUUGCAGUUUCAUAGUUUACUAGUUUCAAGUGCCCCUUGAUGACACUCUUGUUCUCUAUGUCAAAGCAUGGCAACUAUGUUCCAAAGUAUAUAUUCCAAGUCAUAAUUCUCAUAAGAGAUGUAUUUUCCACUUGCAAAAUAAACACUUUUCCCGUAUGCAUGCAUUCUACUCAUAUAGCUCUACUAUAUAGUGAAGUUUUCAUAAUACACAAGGCAUGCAUUUUAAGUGCUCUAAAAUUCAUAUAAAUUCCAUUUAGCAUAGAAAUGAACUUAAAAAUAUUUUACAACAAGUAGAAAGAGCAUAGGGGCCAUUUCGCCCCAUUUCCACGAAGCCAAACCCACCAAAACUCUUGCAACUCUUCGCAAGCUCCGACGAAGAUGCCCACUAGCCUCCUAGCACCCUAAAGAUGUAGGAACAAGGGUUAAACGAACCUUACGAUUAACCCUAAACUCAAUCAAUAAGCAACAUAGGCUAAGAUGGAGAAAAACUCACCUAGGUGAAGAAAUUCUCUCUCUAGCUCCAAAUGGGAGUUAGAGUUCUUCAAAUCCAACCUAAAUAAAGGUUCCAAACCCAUCAAUUAGGUCUCAAAACCCUCAAAUCCAAAAACCCCCAAAAUAAACCCUAAAUCCCAAAAUCUAGGGUUUCAUCUAGUAAAACCUAGGAAAACAUGUAUCAAAUGGGGAUUACAAGCUACCAACCUCAAGAGAAGCUCCAAUCCAAGCUCAAAACCAAGUAGGGUUGAAGUUUGAUCCUCCACAAAGCUCCAACCGCAAGCUCGAAGCCACCAAGGUGAGAAAAUGGGGAAGAAGAUGAUGCUCCAAAGCCUCCAAGCAAGCUCCUUCUCCUCUUCUUCUUCUUCUUCUUCUUCUCCCUCUCUUCUUCUCUCUCUAGAAUGCAAAGGGUUGAGAGAAAUGAGGGAAAGAGAGAGAAGAAAGGCUCUCUAUAGGCUCUAAAGUAACAAAAUCCUGAUAAGCCCCUCAAAAAUCCAAAAUUACAUCAGCCCGGUCUGGGCAGUUUUCGCCCAGAGGGACCGAUCUCCCCGACCUGGGACCGGUCUCUCAGCCUGCCCCCGAAAAUCCAACAUUCGGGACCCGGUCUCUCCCUGCGCGGGACCGGUCUCUCCCCGCGCAGACGCGCUCGGGGACCGGUCUCGACUGCCAGGGACCGGUUGUCUCGCCGGCUGCGCAGCACUGUUCACUGGGGGAUCGGUCUCUCCUAUCAGGGACCGGUCCCCGAGAGUAAAAACUCUCAGGACUCAGCCAAAACUCUCGAGAUCGAACUUUUAGGCCGGUAUACCAUCGACGGCCCUCCACCAAGUGUGGAAAAGUUCGGAAUACACAUCGAACACUUGAACCUCGCAAUUUGCAAAGGUCCAGUGUGCUACAAUAAACAACUGAACAAUCCCCUUCACGACAUUCUCUGUCAAGGAAGACUACAAUUUCCUCAGAUCGCUACUCAAUCUAUAAAAUACACCUAAUGCUAAAGGCUGAUUAAAAGCUCAACAGAUCUCGACAUAGUCCAACUACUUAAUCGUGUUUCCAAUUGAAGUCACGAUAUUCGACACACAGUCGAAUAACUUAUCUAAUCUCCCAACAAUUGGAAUUACUUCACCAAAAUGAAGCACUAGGCAUAAAACAUUCUCUAUUAGUCGAGCUCACAAUUUGUGACUUGAUCGGAAAUACCACAACCACUUCUCAGGAAUUACCCUUCAUUUUGAGGGUUCUCACAUCUAAAUCAUCAGUCCAUCAGUCAAAUAGGCUCUCACCUCUCCAUAAUUACCUAAUUUAGGUAAAAUGACAAUUCUCGCAAUCAGCGAGAUUAAACCUUCAAGAUGCAUUAUAUAAUGCUCAACUUCCAAGGCGAAUCAGUUUGGUUCGCACAAACCAUGGUACAAAGUACCUCACAACCGAAUUUUAACCAAAACCACUCUAUCAUAGGUAGGGCCAAUUCAUUUGUUGGCACAUAUAUAACAUCCUCUCAUUCGGCAGGCAUCACACAAACCAUUGCACAAUGUACUACCUGUAGUAAGCAUCCCCGCCGCCGUAUCUGGCUCUACAAUUCCGUCGGCGUACCUCCACUGGGUACUUCUUGCAACAAAGUCAGUGCAGACACUUCAGUUAACAUGUUAUGCCUUGGGCACUUAGAUCGAAAAUGGCCCUCAUGACCGCAUUCAAAACACUUUCCCUUCCGUUGAGGACACUUUGGGGGAAUGUGCGGACCUCCACAAAUUACACAUGGCCGUGGUGCUCGACCACUCGAUCUUCUUUGCUUAGAAAAAGAAUCACGUUUCCAAGGUUGAUUCUUCUUUAUUUUUCUUGAUGAUUCUCCGACAUGUAACUGAUCACUCUUGGUAACCUCUUUUGCUCUUUCAGUGCAUUCCACACCUUUUCUUACAGUCAAUGUACGAUCCGGAACCUCACGAAAUUUCUUGAGAUCAGCCGUCUGUUGAAUCAACAGGUUCUCCAACCGUCUGAUUCCUUCAUCCUGUCGGCGCAAAGCCUCGGCUUGAAGUAGCGUCACAUUCGAUUGUCGCUCCACCACUCCAACUAUAGUAGCCAACUGCUCUUUUAAUUCCCGAACCUCACCCGAUUCAGAAGGUGCAAGCUUUUCUGGCUCGGUCGUCUCUGUCGCCGCAGGGUGCAUCUUUAACAUCACAAGCUGCAUCAAACAAAAUAGGCACAGGUUAAACAACCUAUGCUAUCGUAACCCCACUCAUAAAUAUAAAAUCCCAAUCAUGCGAAAGAAUGAAAUGACCGCCCACUAUUCCCCAAUAUCACGUUGUCGGCCGCCAACGUGAUCUUGUAAGGACAUAGAGUGUCACGCCCCGAGCCCGCCUCUUUGGUCGGAUUCGGGCACGCCAACAGACCGCCGAACGGACAGGGUUUCCCCUGUACCGCGGACAGAGUCUCCCCUGUACGUUCAAGGCGUCGCAAUCAAUACAAUGUACGAAGUUCCAACCAGGAACACAUUUCAACCAAAGAUUGCAUAAUGAAGUAUCAAAAACAUAAAUCUACUUGCUAUUACAAGCAUUCAUCUCACAUAUUACAUUUUUACAUUCUUAGAUUUCAUCACAUUUGAUUCCUUGAUUCUUACUUCCAAAUACAAUCAAAUUAUUACAAAUUUGUUACAAGUUUGAUACAUCUUGUUCUUUCAUUUUCCAUAUCCCUAAGUAGCCGACUCAGGGUGUUACUAUNNNNNNNNNNNNNNNNNNNNNNNNNNNNNNNNNNNNNNNNNNNNNNNNNNNNNNNNNNNNNNNNNNNNNNNNNNNNNNNNNNNNNNNNNNNNNNNNNNNNNNNNNNNNNNNNNNNNNNNNNNNNNNNNNNNNNNNNNNNNNNNNNNNNNNNNNNNNNNNNNNNNNNNNNNNNNNNNNNNNNNNNNNNNNNNNNNNNNNNNNNNNNNNNNNNNNNNNNNNNNNNNNNNNNNNNNNNNNNNNNNNNNNNNNNNNNNNNNNNNNNNNNNNNNNNNNNNNNNNNNNNNNNNNNNNNNNNNNNNNNNNNNNNNNNNNNNNNNNNNNNNNNNNNNNNNNNNNNNNNNNNNNNNNNNNNNNNNNNNNNNNNNNNNNNNNNNNNNNNNNNNNNNNNNNNNNNNNNNNNNNNNNNNNNNNNNNNNNNNNNNNNNNNNNNNNNNNNNNNNNNNNNNNNNNNNNNNNNNNNNNNNNNNNNNNNNNNNNNNNNNNNNNNNNNNNNNNNNNNNNNNNNNNNNNNNNNNNNNNNNNNNNNNNNNNNNNNNNNNNNNNNNNNNNNNNNNNNNNNNNNNNNNNNNNNNNNNNNNNNNNNNNNNNNNNNNNNNNNNNNNNNNNNNNNNNNNNNNNNNNNNNNNNNNNNNNNNNNNNNNNNNNNNNNNNNNNNNNNNNNNNNNNNNNNNNNNNNNNNNNNNNNNNNNNNNNNNNNNNNNNNNNNNNNNNNNNNNNNNNNNNNNNNNNNNNNNNNNNNNNNNNNNNNNNNNNNNNNNNNNNNNNNNNNNNNNNNNNNNNNNNNNNNNNNNNNNNNNNNNNNNNNNNNNNNNNNNNNNNNNNNNNNNNNNNNNNNNNNNNNNNNNNNNNNNNNNNNNNNNNNNNNNNNNNNNNNNNNNNNNNNNNNNNNNNNNNNNNNNNNNNNNNNNNNNNNNNNNNNNNNNNNNNNNNNNNNNNNNNNNNNNNNNNNNNNNNNNNNNNNNNNNNNNNNNNNNNNNNNNNNNNNNNNNNNNNNNNNNNNNNNNNNNNNNNNNNNNNNNNNNNNNNNNNNNNNNNNNNNNNNNNNNNNNNNNNNNNNNNNNNNNNNNNNNNNNNNNNNNNNNNNNNNNNNNNNNNNNNNNNNNNNNNNNNNNNNNNNNNNNNNNNNNNNNNNNNNNNNNNNNNNNNNNNNNNNNNNNNNNNNNNNNNNNNNNNNNNNNNNNNNNNNNNNNNNNNNNNNNNNNNNNNNNNNNNNNNNNNNNNNNNNNNNNNNNNNNNNNNNNNNNNNNNNNNNNNNNNNNNNNNNNNNNNNNNNNNNNNNNNNNNNNNNNNNNNNNNNNNNNNNNNNNNNNNNNNNNNNNNNNNNNNNNNNNNNNNNNNNNNNNNNNNNNNNNNNNNNNNNNNNNNNNNNNNNNNNNNNNNNNNNNNNNNNNNNNNNNNNNNNNNNNNNNNNNNNNNNNNNNNNNNNNNNNNNNNNNNNNNNNNNNNNNNNNNNNNNNNNNNNNNNNNNNNNNNNNNNNNNNNNNNNNNNNNNNNNNNNNNNNNNNNNNNNNNNNNNNNNNNNNNCCCCCCUCCUCCCGCCCCACUCUUCUUCUCCUUCUUCUUUCUAGAGAGAGAGAGGGAGAGCGUUUUGCGUGUGCGGAGACGCUGCCAGAGCAAAUGCAGGAGCAAGAGGAGAAAGGAUCCUCUGCAUCUACACUCUCAUAAAGCUGCCAUUUUGCCCCCACCUUAAGCCCCUCCACAUGCCCUUCCCUCGCAACAGCCCAAACUGGGCAUUUCGGGGUUCUGGGACCGCCCGUGACCGGUCCUUGCGGUGAGAGACCGGUCCCCGAAAGGCCAGAAUUCCAGACUUAGCCAAUUUUUCAGCAUUUUCAGCCUUUAUCCUUUUUCACUCCGUUUUCGCUCGUUUUCGCUCGUUUGACCUCCGUUUCUUUUCAAAUCGAACCGAGAUUCUCCAAACAUGUUUUCAAACAUGUUUUCAUCAUCUUUUCAUCCACGCUAAUGCCGGAUUUAGUCCAUGGUCUAACAUAGCCUUUCGGGUCCCGUUUUCGCGCCCUAUGCGCACCGAAGCACCCGAAUGCUCCCGAACUUCGCCGGAAUGAUUCCAACGGCUUUCUAAGCUAACAUACAUCGUAACUUCAUGAAUUAGAAGUUCGGUAUAUUACAUAGAGGUUAUUCAUUUCAAUUAAACUCCAACAUUUUUGGAGUUAUAAGUAUGACCCAAUCGUAGUACUUUCGCUCAAAAUAGUCGCAAAAGACCCCGUCUCUCACGCUCCUAAUCCUGAUCGUCCAAUCGGCCUAAGGUUUGCUAUGUCCACAAAGACUCAACCCUAGGCUCUGAUACCACUAUAAUCUGUCACGCCCUGGAUUUCAGCGGAAGAUCACCAGUCGCGUGCACAGACCUGCCGUAUACACCACAAUUCAAGUAUACACCAGGCGUCUAUAAUCAAUAUAGUAAAAGUAUUCGAUUCUAACAAGGUAAUCAGAGCAAAGCUUAAAAGUUUAACUUAUACAACCCAAACCUUAUUACAAUAGAUAAGAACAAAGUACAAUGUACAUGAACUUAAUAUACAUCAAAAAACUAAACUACAUAGACUGAUAAAGGUUGUCUAGUAAACGUCCAGAAGGCUUUAGCUAGCCACUGACCCCUCGCAGGAACCCUAGCCUUUCCCACUGUGGAAGGCUCUGUAAAAACAACAACAAAGAAAGCGUGAGAACUAUUAAACAAUAGUUCCCAGUGGGUAAGCCGCCGAGAGUGGCGAAGUACACCACUAGGUCAACUGUGGUAUGAGUAAAUAGCAAUAAAUAAGUAAAUAAUUGCAACAGGUAUGAAAAUAAACCAAUCAUGCUAUUUGCUCAUAAAUAAAUAUAUAUCAACAGGUUGCAGGUACUAGUUUAUUAUGAUAGAUUCUGUCAUUCUUAUUAAUGGUAAAGAUGUCAUUGUUCACCAUUCUAGUCAAUGCCCACUUGUCGUUUAACUACUCAAAGUUUAAAUCUUGUAAGACUCACCCGAAGGCUGUCUGGUAUGAAGACCCACCCGAAGGCUGUCUAAUAUGAAGACCCGCCCGAAGGCUGUCUAAUAUGAAGACCCACCCGAAGGCUGUCUAAUAUGAAGACCCACCCGAAGGCUGUCGAAUAUGCAAGCUGUAAUCCAUGGUACAAUAUCACAACGAUAUCAUGGGAUCUCAACUCGACCCAAGGUCGACACUGUAGUACCAAAUCAUAAAUUGCUAUCUACUACUUGUUGACAUAAUUCACUAUCAAUAGCUAGUAUAACUUAAUAAGUUUAAGCUUUACAUCGUACUAGUGAUUCUAUCAGGCUACACCUGGUCACUCACUCAUAGUCCUUUCACUACUCCUUACACAUAAGGGAAGUUGUUUACUAAAGUCAUACUCAAAGACUCAUGACACAUAUUCUGUAGUUCAAUGUAAACCUCCACUACUUGGAGAGAACAAAUGCUAUGCAAUUACAUCUACUUGAUUAUACAAGUAUGAUAUCAUAUUCAAAUCUAGUUAUUGAAUCAACUAGAUUACAUUCAGUGUAUAACAUUCAUGUUAUGUCAUAAUACUAAAUUCUAGUUACCUGACUAGUUCAUAUAAUAUCAAGUGAAACUCUAGCCAAUCUAUCAGAUGAAGGUAGAAACCAGCUACUUAAUAUAAGUAGGCAAAAUAAACGAUGAAAUACUUUUCACAUAAUCUCUAUACAGUUCAUUCUAUACUAUGAAUGUAUACUCAAGCCAAUUCAUCUGCACAAUAGGUUCAAGUAUAGCCAUCAUGCUUACAAUAUAACAUUACCUAGCGUAAUCCCAAGUACAUCACUUCCUUUGCUAUUCAACUGAGCUAAAUGGUAUAUUCACGCUGUAACAGUUAUAUCCUUUUAAAUGACCCCAAGCUUAACUUGCUUAUACAACUCAUUAAUAUCAUGAAUGCAUAAUAAUCAAAUAAGUGAUUAUUGAAAUAAGCAAGUCGUAAGUCUUUCCUUAUUGUUUAGAUAUGCUAUCAUAUCCGAUAUGAUCCACACAUUUAUGCAUGUUUCAAUUCCUAGCACUAUACAUAUAUUCAUAAAUAUGUAAUAACUUCCACUCAUAAUGUCAAAGGAGACAUAGAGGGAAUUCACCCAUUUCGGAAAGAUCAGACCCACCUAUACUUCGAUGGUCCCUGUUGAACUCCCUUUUGAAGGAAAUUCGAAGCUUUUAAGUCCCCUAAUAUCAAUUCCAAAAUUAGCUAUGAGCGAAAGUUCUAUAUCGAUAAUAGAACUUUACAUAAGAUGGACCAAUUCUUACCUUAUCUUAACUUAAAGUUAAGCUUUCCUUUAUUCCAGGUUGAAGCACCUCCAACUCAGUUUAAAUCAGCCCAAACAAUGUGUCAAGUUUAGUCCACAACAAUCCUCGCACUUGCUGCGCACUAGUUAUAAAAACUGCAUUGAACUAUUAUCUAAGCAUCUUAUUUCAGCGAAAAUCUCACUUAAGUUUGUACCAGAGUUGAUCCUUCACUUUCACUUUGGUUGGAAUACUUUAAUUAACCCAUAACUAUUACUAAAAUCGGCUCCAAAUGAUCCCCCAACCUGCUGCACUACAGCUGUGAAUUAUCUCGUCAAACUACAUUGAAACUGGUAUCAAACAUCAAAAUUCAACUACAUUCUUACCUUGUACAAGGCUAUAGCUUGAACCUCGGUUUAGGUUCAAGUUGAUGCACUUAAUUCAGCCUCCGAAAGCUCCCAAUACUCAGCCGAGUCUUACUUAAUAUCCUGUUGCAAGCCUGUUGCCAAUUAGUUCAAAAACAGCUUUUAUAUUCUUUUAAACUAUUUAAUCUAGCUGAAAAUCUCCCUUGUUCAGCUUCUUAACUUGAAGUCUCAUUUCCUGAUGCUUAAGAAUUCCCAGAAUUAGCUCACUAGGGUUGAAUAAUCAACUCUAGGAGAUCUUGGUAGCUGCUGCCAACAAGAACCAAAAUCAGCAUAAUUCCUCACUAUAUUGCCUCAACAAAAGAGUAAUUAGUUAACUAAUUACCUUUCUCAACCCUUACUUCCCUUCUUCCCUGCUCUAUUAUAGAGGAAUUACAGUAAAAAAGCUCUCCUCUAGCUGCUGGAACCUCUCCCAACCUCGGCUGGCAGCAAGGACUAAAUCUUACUUAGCUCUAUUAUUAUGCCUCAAACUAGAUAGUAAAUAAGUAAUUUACCUCUCCAAAGCCUCAUUCUGCAAGAACAAUGUUGAAGGUUGCGAAAUACUCUUUAAAACUCCUCAUUCUUUCUUCCACAGCAGCUCCAAACCACUCCCUGCCAGUAACCAACAAGCAAAGAAGAGAAUCAAGCUUAAACCCCUGAUUCCUAGUAGAGAGAGAAAUUCCUAGAGAGAGAGGGAGUGAGAGAGAAGCCAAACCCUACUCCUGAACUCCCAGCACCCUUGGGUAGCUUCAGGAGUCGAGCUGAGACUUAAGAGGAUAAGCACAAGAGCCCAAAAGACCAAAUGACCCCUGCUACCACGCACCUGCUGACUCUGCUGCUUGUUGUACCGGUACAGCAUUAUAUUUGUACUGGUACACCAAUGCAAAAAAUGCCAAACUCGAAAUGGCAAUGCACUUUCUUGUCUCCGACAAUCCGAUCACUUCCAAACUUAUCCGUAAACAUCUUUAAACUCUUUAAUACAUGUAGGGAGGUUCCAAAUAUCAUUCCCCUUGCUUGAACUUCGCAAUUUGCUAAAGUUCAGUAUACUACAGGAAGCUCCAAAAGGUUGACUGUCCAUACAGUAAGGAUGGUCAAUCAUGUAGAAGAAGAUAAUAAUGAUGGCAAUCCGACGCUGAGGGAGAUAGCUACGAGAGCUGCCCUCCUGCGCAAAGGGAAGAAGGCCCCUAAAACAAGAAGAGGUGGUUCCUCUCAAGGGAUAUGAGAACAUCCCAACACGGAAUUACCUCAACACCCCAAUACUGAUUUACCUCUUGACCCGUUUAAUGUAAAAGAGAAUGAAGAGGAGCCCGCUUUUCUCCCCCGGGAUCCUAAAAAUCUCCUAAUUGAUUCAAUGACAAAGAAGCUGGAGGAAACGGACAAGGACAUAUCAAAUCUGCAUAGAAAGUUAGACGAAGUUUUGGAAAUGUUCAGCUACAUGCAAACGCACAUGGGAGUGCAAUUACGCAAUCCUGAAGUUCAAGCUACACCACCGACUUUAAACUUGUCCAUACCGUCAACCGAAGAAAACCAGACAAAUCAGUUGGCUACGACACCUCGCAUCUAGAAAGAUACUCAUAAUAUAACCAGAGAUGAAAUAUCAGAACUCAUUGCUCUUCAACUGAAAGAGUCAAUGGCAGGGUCAAUACCCAAACAGAAAGGAAGGGGGCACCCAUACCCUGUAGAAUAUGAUGAUAUACUCUUCCCUUUAGGGUAUGUCAUUCCUAAAUUCAAACAAUUUAAUAGGGUAGGCAACCCGGACCAACAUUUGGCACAUUUCAAAGCCACGUAUGGUAACACAGGGGGCAACAAUGCAUUAUUGUUGCGUCAGUUCCCUCAGAGCUUGACGGGGAUAGCUUUUGACUGGUAUUACUCUCUCGAGGAUGACUCAAUUAAAACUUGGAGUGAAAUGGAGAAUGCUUUUCGAGCAAAAUUCGCUACAGUUAGCGAUAAAAUCUCAAUAGCAGAUCUGGCAGCGACUAAAAGAAAGAAGCAUGAGUCAAUGCUAGACUACAUAACUCGAUGACGAAAUUUGAGUAUAAAGUGUGAUACAACCCUAGAGCAAUCUCAAGCGGUAGAGUUGCUUAAAGGGAAUAUAGACAACUGGAUGGCCCUGUUCCUUUGUACCACCAGUUGUACUAUGUUUCAGGAUCUCAUACUGAAUCUUUCAAAGUUGGAGAAAACUGAUCCACAAAUUUCGGCGAGUUUCUAUCCUUCUAAACCUCGGAGGGAAGAUGGAAAGAAAGCUGAAACCAAAACCAUCCGUUCAAGAACAGCCUAUGCCAACAAUGUAGAAAAAGGAAAAAGGCCCAUUGCUUCAGUUGGGCCAGCAUCCAAGCCAACGUUAGGCAGCGAUAACUAUAAAAUGACCAUAGAGGAGAGAAAGAAUAAAGUCUACUCCUUUAAAAGAGACAAAGUAAGAAAAAUAUUCAAUGAUGUUAUUAAAAGUGGUCUACAGCUAAAGAAGCCAGAAGAUGUUGGCCGAGUCUAGUCUACCGGAGCCAAAGAGGCCAGAAGAUGUUGGCAAAAUCGAUGACACAAAUUAUUGUCUCUAUCACAGAAUAGUCAGUCACCCUAUUGAAGAUUGCUGGGUGUUUAAAGACUGGGUUGAGAAGCAAUAUAAAACUGGUGCUAUUACACUCUCACGUUCUGUCCCCAUGGAUCCACAAGUGGAAGAAACCAAUGCAAUUAGUGUUGGGACCGAAGAAAUAGUAGGGUUCGAUAACUCAUUUCCUUCUGAGUUUUGGAACACCUUUUUGACUAAGAAGACUCGAAAAAUGCUCAAACAAUUGAAAGAAACCCCAGGAAUUAUAUGGCGAGGCUCGUCGAAUCCAAAAGUGCAAACCAAUGCCACUAGAGAAUCAGCCUUCAUCAUCUUCCAAACCAUAUAAUCAUCCUACCCUAUCUAAUCGGAAAGUAAUCAAGAAAAAGAAGAUUAAAAGGCCUGUAAAUCCGGAGCCGUACGAGUCUAAGAAGACGGAGCUUGAAGAGUAUAUUGACUCCCUAGAAGACUAAAUACAGAAAGAAAGAGAGAUAGUUUUAAUCAAGGACUUCGUAGUCGGAGCAAUGGACAGCACGACCAUCCCGAUACGAAAGAUUGAUGAGGGUGUCAGAUUUAGAAAAUAUGUUGAGCCUCCCCUUCCACCCAAUAAAAAGGUCUAUAUAAAUUUAGAAGACGAAUUUGAAGAGAUAGAGAAGGAGAUCUAUGAGGAGGCGGAGGAUUUCUGGCUAGAAGUAUUGACAGAAGUAUGCAGAACCACCUCAGCUUAUAAUGUGGACAGUGAAGAUGAAUUUACUUCCGCAUUAGAAGACAACGCCGAUGAUGGUGUUGAAGAAGGUGAUAGCGAGAAAGAAUUUCGGCAAAAAUUAGAAAGAAAGAAAAAAGAGGAGCAAGGUUCAACUGCAUAUGUACAAAGGGCCACGAACUAUAGACUAGACUCGGCCAACGAAGAGCUCUUUAAUAUAAGAGUCGAACAAAAAGAGAUAGCGAAGAUGGUGAUCGGGCUUGAAGCAAGGAUUGAACAGGUAUUGCGAUUGAUGGCCCCAGCCCCUCGACGAGUUCGACUACCACGAAGAAACAGCCGUCUACAAAAGAUGAUGGAGCGCAUUGAAAGAAUGAUGACCCCCGAUACCAGUCAGGAGCAAGCAAUAGAGAAUGUAUCUUCUCGAAACUUGAGAAUUGUAGGAGAUCAAGAUCUAUCAACUCGAAGGGAGAAACAACAAUUUUCUCGAAUGGGUAAAAACAAUCAAAUUUUAAACCCCAGCUGGCACCAGUCGACUGAUGAUCAAAAGAAAGACUCGAUUAUGGAGAAAAAGAAAAAGUCUCUAAGUAUCAAGAUCGAUGACGAGAAAGUGGCAGAAAGGUCACGGCACCAAGAUGUGCACGUUUACGAAGGAAAAGGAAAAGCUCCGCUCAUUGAAGACCGAGGUAUGAAGAAGGUUUGGAAAAGGGAGCAAAGAGAAGCGCAACUCCGAUUUUCUCUGGGCCAUCAGGAGUGGGGGCAUAACCUAGAUACGAAGAAAGAUCAAAUACAACCCUCGACCAGUAAAGGCUUCAAAAAGGAUCAAGUCACAAGGAGCACAAGACCCCCGAGAACAUAUCUACCAUAUGAUGAGAAUGAACCUAUUAUCUAUAACUUCUGCAGAGCUAAUGGCCACUCCUACAUAAAUUGCCAACAUCUAAAAGAGCUAGAGGAGAAAAUUCUCAGCAGGGAGUCUUGUAGAGUGAUCACUAUCUCUGAAGAUCACUCUGAGGAAUCGGUUAACAAACGGAGACGAAAAAGUAAACAACCAGCAGUGGUGAACGAAGAAGGUGACAGUGCAUGGUUAGCAUACGAACCUCCCUCCCAAAAUCAAGAAUUAAAAAGAAUGGAAACUCGUAUCUUGGAAGUAGGAAAUGACGUAAAGAGGUUGCGGCUAGACUUCCAUUCUUUAAAGUUAAAUCUAGAUUGUGUGGCUGCUGCAGUGAAAAAUUUGAGCUCUCAAACAAUGAUGAUAAUAGAUAUGCUUCGCUCUCAAGAAGGUGAGAGCUCAAAGAAAAGUCGAAACGAGAUUUGUAGGGCAGUCGACAUCAGUACUGAUUCGGAAAAUGAUGAAGGAGAUGCCCUGCAAAUAAAAUUAAGAUCUAGCAGGGUACUACCAGAAAGGCAAGAGCCAGCCCAAAAGGAAAGAGAUAGAGAAGUUGUCACGCCCCGCCCUGAAACCACUACCAAUUUGGCACGGUUCGGCCGUGGCGGUGGGCCGCCGAACGGACAGCACCUCCCCUGUCCGCCCAAGGUUCAUCAACAGGAAUGUGUACAAGAAUUUACCCAGGAAAUUAAAUUCUAAGCAUACACAUUCACAAGGGCACAGACAGUGCCAACAAUACAAAGAGCAAGCGAUCCACAAGAUAAAACAAGUGAAAUAAAGAGAGUACUUUACUAACUAUUACAUUAGUUCAUUCUUUAAAUGAAUACAUUUUUCAUCCAAAAUACAUAGCUCUCCAAAGUUGCCUCAGGUUUGGCCGCGACACUAUUCCGGGGGGACCGAUCUCUCCCACCAGGGACCGGUCCCCGAGAGUAAAUACUCUUAGGACUUAGCCAAAAUCCAAAAUUUCAAACUUUUAGGUCGGAAUACCAUCUACGACCCUCCACCAAUUGUGGAAAAGCUCGGAAUCCAAGUCAAGCGCUUGAACCUCGCAAUUUGCACAGGUCCAGUGUGUUACAUUCACCCCUUCCUAAAAGGAAGUUUCGUCCGUGAAACUCAAAGCAAAUACAUACCUUAGAACUCCAUCUGAAAGAGAUGGGGGUAGCGCUCCUGCAAAGCGCUCUCCAGCUCCCACGUGGCCUCCCGCUCCCCGUGGUUGCUCCAAAGAACCUUCACAUACGGAAUGUCCCGAUUUCGCAGCUUCCGCACCUCGCAAGCCAAGAUCCUCACUUGUAGCUCCUCGAAGCUCAGGUCAUCCCGCAACUCUACAGGUGUAGCAUCCAACACAUGAGUCGGGUCGAAGACGUACUCCUGAAGGACCGAUACUUGAAAGACGUUGUGCACGCCCGAUAGGUUCGGUGGUAGAGCAAGUCGAUACACUACCGGACCUACCUGCUCUAAGAUCUCAUGCGGUCCAAUGAAACGGGGGCUCAACUUACCCGGAAUUCCAAAUCUCCUGAUCCCUCUAGUCGGCGAGACCUUCAAGAAUACAUGGUCUCCAACUUGGAACUCCAAGUCUCGCUGCCGUCGAUCGGCGUAGCUCCUCUGUCUACUCUGUGCCGUCAAAAGUCACUCUCGAGCAAUUCGAACCUUGUCCUCUGCUUCCUGGAGCACAUCAGGGCCUAAUGCCAAUCUCUCGCCGACUUCACUCCAAUGAAGUGGCGAUCUACACUUUCGUCCAUAAAGUGCUUCGAAGGGCGCCAUCUUGAUGCUUGCUUGAUAACUGUUGUUAUAAGUAAACUCUGCCAUCGGUAGAUGCUGCGACCAUCCUCCCUGGAAGUCUAUCACACAAGCUUGGAGCAUAUCCUCUAAGAUCUGAAUGGUACGCUCCGACUGCCCGUUACUCUGCGGGUGGAAAGCAGUGCUGAAGUCCAGUCAGGUGCCCAGGGCGUCCUGCAAGAUCCUCCAAAAUUGAGACACAAACCGAGUGUCUCGAUCUGAUACAAUCGAAGUAGGCACUCUGUGAAGUCGCACAAUCUCAUCAAGGUACAAUUGUGCGAGCUUCUCUCCAGUCCAAGUAGUAUGAAUAGGUAUGAAGUGCGCCGACUUCGUCAACCUAUCCACGAUCACCCAUAUAGCAUCAUGCCCGGCCUGAGAGUGAGGCAAUCCUGUCACGAAAUCUAUGGUGAUCUUCUCCCACUUCCACACGGGAAUAGAUAAACUCUGAAGUUUUUUCGCGGGUAAUCGGUGCUCAACCUUUACUUGUUGGCAAGUUAAACAAUGAGCUACAAACUCGCCAACGUCCUUUUUCAUCCUGGGCCACCAAUAUAACAAUUUUAAAUCCUUAUACAUCUUGGUACCUCCCGGAUGUAUAGCAUAAGGCGCUCGGUGCGGUUCUUGAAGAAUAUCCUCUUUAACUCCCGAAUCCGCCGGUACACAAAUCCGUCCACGGAAACGCAUCAAUCCUUGGUCAUCCACAAGAAAAUCGUCGGUGCAACCAUCAACCAUUUUAUCCUGAAUCUUUUGCAAUUCUACAUCAGAAGCUUGCUUUUCUUUAAUUCUAUCCACAAGUGUAGGUUGCACUAUCAAUGUCAUCAACCUCAAAGGCGUGUCAGGAGUCACUACCUCCAACUCCAACCGCUUCAUCUGCUCGAUCAACUUCGGUUGAGUAACAACAUGCAUCGCUAAGUUUUUCGUCGAUUUCCUACUUAGCGCAUCCGCCACCACAUUAGCCUUGCCCGGGUGGUAGAGAAUCGUCAGAUCAUAAUCCUUGAGCAGCUCCAACUAUCUGCGCUGCCUCAAGUUUAACUCCUUCUGAGUGAACAGGUACUGGAGGCUCUUGUGAUCUGUGUAUAUCUCACACCGCUCGCCAUACAAGUAGUGGCGCCAUAACUUCAAUGCGAAGACUACCGCCGCCAACUCCAAAUAAAGCGUAGGGUAGUUCUUUUCAUAUUUCUUCAGUUGGCGAGAAGCAUACGCGAUCACCUUGCCAUCCUGCAUCAAAACGCAGCCCAAUCCAUUAAGAGAUGCAUCACUGGAAACCACAUACCCUGCUCUAGCAACCGGCAGGGUUAGGAUUGGGAAGGUCGUCAAUCGUCGCUUUAACUCUUGGAAGCUUCUCUCACACGCAUCAUUCCAGAUGAACUUGACAACUUUAUGCGUGAGCCUCGUAAGGGGAGUAGACAGCUUAGCGAACCCCUCAACAAAUCUCCGGUAGUAGCCGGCUAAUCCGAGAAAGCUCCGGAUCUCAGUGACGCUCGUCGGUCUCGGCCAAUCCUGGAUAGCCUCAAUUUUCUUAGGAUCCACGGCUAUACCCGAUCCCGAUAUCAAAUGUCCAAGGAAGGCUACCUCUCGAAGCCAAAAUUCACACUUUCUCAGCUUGGCAUAAAGCUCUUUUUCCCGAAGUAUUUGAAGUACAAGCCUCAAAUGCUCCUCAUGACCCGUAUCAUUUUGGGAAUAAACCAAAAUAUCGUCGAUGAACACUACGACGAACCUGUCCAGGUAAGGCUUAAAACACGGUUCAUCAGAUCCAUAAAAGCUGCCGGGGCAUUAGUCAGCCCAAACGGCAUAACUGUGAACUCAUAGUGUCUAUACCGUGUUCUAAAAUCCGUCUUCGAUACAUCCUCGGGUUUGAUCUUUAAUUGGUGGUAUCCCGACUGCAAGUCUAUCUUGGAAUACACACACGAUCCCUGAAGCUGAUCAAACAAGUCGUCGAUCCUCAGCAACGGAUACUUAUUCUUGAUCGUGACCUUAUUAAGUUCACGAUAGUCCAUACAUAGGCGAAGUGAUCCGUCCUUUUUCUUGACGAACAAAAUUGGCGCUCCGCACGGUGAGACGCUCGGUCGAAUGAAGCCCUUGUCCAGCAGAUCCUGUAGCUGUGCCCUCAGCUCCUUUAGCUCCGCCGGUGCCAUCCUAUAGGGCGCUUUCGAGAUAGGGGUAGUCCCGGGGACGAGAUCUACCACAAACUCGAUCUCCCUAUUCGGUGGCAUACCCGGUAGCUCAGCUGAAAACACGUCCUGAAACUCCCGUACCACCGGAAUAUCCUCAAUCCUGGGGGUGUCAUUCUCGCCCCUCAACACAACACUAGCCAAGUAGGCUACACAUCCUCGGCUGAUCACCUGCCUAGCUCGAGACGAGCUGAUCAACAUCGCAAAAAGCGAUCUCCGGCAUCCUCUAAACACAACCUCAGUCUGCCCCGGUUCUCUAAAAAUAACCGUGCGAUUCUUACAAUCGAUCGUGGCAUAAUACUUAGUUAGCCAAUCCAUACCCAAGACCACAUUGAAAUUCCCUAGCUUGCGUAAGGCUAGCAAAUCUACAGGCAUGAUGCAAUCUCCUACCCGAGCAGGGCAACUAGGACAAUACUCUCUAAUAUCCAGAGUGUGGUCGGGUACUGCAACAUAUUCCGGAUGCAACAAAAAAACUAAAGGGAUGCCAUGCAACUCGACAAACAACCGAUCUAUAAAUGAAUGCGAUGCACCGGUAUCAAAUAAAGCACGAACUCAAUGCCAUCAAGUAAAAUGAUACCUGCAACCACAUCCUCGGCUGCUGCCGCUUCCUCGGUCUGAGCGGCAUACAAACGCCCACUCGGGGCCUGUCGGAAUCCCUCGCUCUAGCGCUCGACGGGUGGCCGCCCAGGCUGGUACUGUGUCGACGGAGUCCCGUGGCUAGCGGCUGGUAGAGCCGGUGCCAAUGUAGUCGACGGUGCCGGUGAAGAACCUCUCGGGCACUCAUUCUGAACGUGGCCCUCCUGGCCACACUAGAAGCACCUGCCCGCCCGCUGUGGACACUGUGGUGGGUGGUGAGGACCACCGCAGAUCACACACAGGGAAGGCCGGCGACGAUCAAAACCUCCUCGCUGCGCUGCUGAGCCGCGUCCAUGCUGCUGGCUCCUAGGAUGCUUUGGCGGUCUCCUAAAGUGCGUCUGGCUCGCACCCUCAACCGCAGGCCUCUUGGCCUUACCCUUAUCCAUGGCCUCUCGCCACUCCUGGACAUCCGCCGCACUGCUCUCCACUAUGAGCGCGCGAUCCACCACUUUCCGGUAGGUUUGGAGGUCAGAGGAUUGCACGAACCGGAAAAUCAAUGGUCACAACCCUCGCUAAAAAAUGCGGGCCUUGUCCUCAUCGCCCCGCACGACGAAAGGCACGCAGUGUAGAAGCCGAGAAAACUCCCUCUCGUACUCGGCUACAGUCCGGUCUCCUUAGCGCAAGUUGCGCAAGUCCUGCUCUAUCUUCCUCUUGACGCUGGUUGGGAAGUAGUGUGCCAACAGAAGCUCCUUGAACUUCUUCCAUGAAAUGGCCGCCAAAUCAAUGCUGUGGUUCUCCUGGAGAUCCAACCACCAGCAAUAGGCCUCGCUAUCCAAGUGGUGUGUGGCGAGCCAAACUCGAUCUCUCUCCUCCACGAAAGUGUCGCGGAAGAGUUUCUCCAUAUGCAUCAACCACUUCUCCACGAUCCAGUGGUCGACCUUCUCGCCAUCGAAAAUUCGGGGACCGCACCUUCUGAACUCGUUGAGGCGCUCCAUCAAUCUGUCCCUCUCCUCUGUAGAAACCGUCAUGGGAAAAACUGCCCCCGCCGGAGGCACCUGAGCUGGUGGUGCCGCAAUCGCCCCCUCCUGUGGUGCUGCCGCAGGCGCCGUCCGAGAUGUGUCGAGUGCAGGGGACGACCCUCGGGGUGCAACCACCUCCACCGGCGCGGGUGGCGUAGGAUCCUGAGUCUCUCUAGCAGUAGCCUGCUAAAGUAGGAGGUCCUCCAAGCAUUUCAUCCGCGCCUCCUGUCGACGCGCCGUCUCUGUCUGCUGAGUCACCAUAUCAGUGAGGGCUGCAAGCUGGCCCCUCAACUCACGGACCUCGCCGGAUACGGAGGUAGCGGAGGUCUUGACCUCCUCUAGGUUAGCCAUAUUAUCCGCCCGGCAGAUUGGGAGCGUGUAAUCGGCAUCGUCACUACAACAUCAUAGAAGCGUAAGUUAGUAAACUCACGCUAUCGAAUCCCCGCUCAAGAAGGUAAAACCCCAAAUCAUGCGAAAGUAAAGAAGUGUGCUUCACUACUAACUCCCGAUGUUACGUUGUCGGCCGCAAACGUAACCCUCCGCGAUGUUAGAAGCCAUACACUUCGAUUCAACUCUACUUUCUAGAGUUAUCCAAAAUACCUAAUCACGAUACUUUCGCUUACAAGUCGAAUAGAUUUCGUCUCUCACGACCCUAUUUCCUAUAGUCCAACCGGCCUAAGGUUUGCUAGGUCCACUAAGACUCUACCCUAGGCUCUGAUACCAAAAUAAUCUGUCACGCCCCGGGACCCAGCGGAAGUCCGCCCGGCGCGUGCCCAGACCCGCCGUAUGUCUAAAACAUACAAGGCGUCUAAAACAAAACGAUAAAAGAAAUAACGAAGCGAUAAAUAAAGCGACAAAGGAGAAUAUCUAGAAGUAUCAGAGCAAAGUAUAUCUAUGAGCUACAUGUCACGCCCCGGGGCCCAGCGGAAGCCCGCACAGCACGUGUCCAGACCCGGCAUAUGUCUAAAACAUAUAAGGCGUCUACGAUAUAGCAAUAAAUAAAAUAAUAAUACAAGAGAUCUAGCGAUAUCAGAGCAAAGUACUACUAGAAUUUACAACGGGAGAGUACAACAACAGCUAAAAUCCACUAAAAUAAAUCAUGAAGUAGAACGACAGAAUUCCGAGUACAAAUGCUAUAAGUGGUACAAUGGCGGUCUCUAUACAUGGUAACAAAACUCUCUCUCACCAAAAACACAAAAAGAGAGUAGACCACCUAGGAGCAAAGGCAGGCUCCGCAUUAACUAGCUACGCGACUCCCUCGCCGCGAUCCUGUGCCUCCGCCGGUGCUGAAGGCUCUGAAAAAGGUAUCAAACAGAGGGCGUGAGAACUAUUAAAUAAUAGUUCCCAGUGGGCAAUUACUGACUUCAGUGAAAUGCACCACUAGGCCCAAAACUAAGCACGUAAGGUAAACGAGGCAGGUAAGAAUAAUAUGAACAAUUAAAGCACUGAAAAGGAAGCUCACUAUAACAUGAUGUCACUACUUUCAUCAGUAAUAAUCUACCACAUGAUCUCUAUUUAGCAUGGAUUUGCGUAAGUAAUAAACUACCACAUGAUCUCUACUUAGCAUGGAUUUGCAUAAGUAAUAAACUACUAUGGCAUAAUUGCACAAGUAUAAGCCGAACAUAACAACCACAAGCUAGAAUGGUAAUGUGUCAAUAUUUACUAUUCUAGUCAUUGUCUAAAUGGCAUAGUAUGUCACUUGUCACGCCCCGGGACCGGCGGAGGCCCUCCCGGUAGCGUGCCCAGACCCGCCAUAUGUCUACACAUAUAAGGCGUCUACAAGAAAAGCGGAAGUAAAAGCAAGAGAUGGAACAAAUGAAAGAAGUGAAGUAACAAGCCACUAAUGAUACCAGAGCGAGUAAAGUUCUAACAUCUAUACUAAUAGUAAUAGAACAUAACUAAUACAUAAAAGUAAACAUAAGUNNNNNNNNNNNNNNNNNNNNNNNNNNNNNNNNNNNNNNNNNNNNNNNNNNNNNNNNNNNNNNNNNNNNNNNNNNNNNNNNNNNNNNNNNNNNNNNNNNNNUUUAGUUAACGACGUGUUAAAUAAUCGAAGUUUCAAAAAUGAGUCAGCGGCCGCUUCUCUACAUUAGGCCGUGAACCGGGCUAUAUGCUCGACCGCAUUCUCGAUUUUAUCGCCCGAGAACUUGUCAAACUUCGACAUUUUCCAGUUUGCCGGAUACGGAUGUUCCACGUCGAUGUUCGCGGGAUAAGGAGAUCUAAACACAGGCCGCAUUGCCGGCCUUGCACCAACUCCGAAAGUAUUUCGGAUGGCUUCUUUAAUCCGUGCGGAUAUUUCAUUAUUGUUCCCCUGCAAAGGAAUCUGUGCUUGUACUACAUUCGGUCUUUGCGGUAGACAGAAAUUCGGUAUAAUAGGGUUAACUCCUUACAUAUUCGGAGCCUGCCCCCCAGCCCUUACGCCCACGUUUUGGGGCUGGUAAGCUGGUAAAGGAGGUAAACCCGAUACCAUCUCCGACUGCGGGCCGGCGUUUAUAUUCGCCGACCUAUAAGCGGCCCGGAAAGGUGCCAUUUGCAGUUGCGCCUGUGAGACCGCCGGCGUGACGGGAUUUUGUUGCAACGGCACAUUUAGGGGCCCCUGUUGCCCCCCGUAAGGUUGCUCAUUUCGGAUAAAUAACUGUCUGAUUCGAACAAUAUUUUCAUUGUAGGCCGUGAUGGAGACUAGCACCGCGUCUAGUCGAGCGGUACUUUGAUGGAUAUUUGAUCUACAGUUUGCAGGACUCGGGUCAUUUGGCCGAGUGCCUGAGUUAGACUCGGCUCUUGAUAAGCCGAUUGUCCACUAAUUUCAUUUUCUGCUGGCAAUAAUGCACAACGACGCUCAUCAGCGUUUUCAGUAUUGCUGGUUUGGUCAUUCCCGGAUGUUCGAGGAACAACUCGAUUGCGGAGAUUCAUGCCAUUGUCAUUAGCCAUAGUUUGUAUAAAAUGAAAAUACAAAUUUACCUGGACAAGUGUCCCACCGGGCGUGCCAAAAAUUGUUAUGUGCCGAAUUCCCUGACCCUUGACCCGAUCAAAGAUCCUCUUCAGGGAGCGUGUCAGGAUGAAAACGGCUUCAGAUAGUGACCCUCGAAGUUUGCGCCCUUCGAUUGAUCAAGCGAUUCGGCUGAUGAGGGAUCGGAUCAGCCGAGUUUGAAAACCUUUACUAUAAAUUCGGUUCGGCUAGAUGAGCCGAAUUAAUAAAAUGCACAGAGUUUUGGGUCGGCUAAUGAGCCGAAUAUAUGGAAUACACGGUAACUGGUCCGCUGAAAGAGCCGAAUGCCUUUAUAUAUUAAUAAAACAGAGUGUGCCCGAAGGGCAUACAGACUUUGAAAAUCUAGAUUACAACAGAGCGUGCCCGUGGGGCAUACAGACUCCAGAUCUAACUUAAAAACUACUCCUAGGAAAGCAGUAAAUGUAGGUAAAAAAGAUUACAUGUAAACUACUCCUAGAAAAUGAUAAAUGAAGGAAAGAAAAGUAUUAAAAAUGUGGUGAUCUUCUCGUUCAGGGAAGAUAAAGAUCUCUAUUACAGGUUUCAAAGUUACUAUUUAUAAUAUCUUAUCAGCCGACAUUAUUGGUUGGUUAUAGUAGUGGGGGAAGUGGUGUAGCCAUGAUCAUGGAAGUAACGCCCCACUUCAUAUGGAAGUUACUCCCCAUUUCUCAACAGUUCCCGCCUAAACGCUCUUGACCUUCAGGCGCCUUAUUGCGGACUUCUGGUGUACCACGUGUCCUUAUUUCUUUAGUCAUACGUAGGUUAGGUCGGCGUGUUAAUUUUAAUUUUGGCAUCAAUUGCGACUAAGGACCAUUUUGGCACUUCGUAAAUGGAGAAGAAGUGCAAGGGUAGAUUAGAGAGGACUGAAUUUAUAAGAGUAAGUCUGUCCCCUCGAGAUAGGAGUUUGAAUUGCCAUCCUUGAAUUCUUAUGUCUAAUUUGUUGAAAACAUUUAUCUAGUCCUCUUUCUUUAAGCACCUAUUAGAGAGUGAGCAACCCAGAUACCGAGUAGGUAGAGCUCCGACUUUGCAGUUUAGGAUGGCUGGUAAAUGCACAUUGGACUAGUAAAACUAGUUGCCAUGCUCAAUCUAGAUUGUUCAUUCCAAAAAUUCUAACGACUGAAUAUAUUUUUUUUUGUAGUAUGGAAGUAUUACUCUUAAGCCUUUGGGCUGAAUGAAUUCUCAAAAAUAUAUAACGUUCCAAUAUAUCUGAACUUCAAACUUAUGUCUAGUAGCUUAGCUGUUAAAUUAUAUACGAAUUAAAAUCGUACCAUCUUCCAUGAUUUCGAUUUUCAAACACGGAUUAUAGAUAGUGAUUCUUCCUCUGAUUUGUCCUCAUUCAUGACGUGUUAAAAAGCGGGACAUUUCCAGUCUAUUCCCUUAUCCCUGGAGAUGGAGCUGUCACAAAAAAUUUAGAUUACAGUUAGACUGGAACUCCUGUUAUAUAUAUAAAAUCUAAUGUAAGUAUGUGUAAUUACGCCUGUCCAUCAACAACGUGCUCGGAUGCAUUCUAAUCGUUGGAUUGACUGUAUCUUUAUGGAUCGCUUUGAAUAAAUCUCGUAGGCCAUAUCCAACAUUCUCCCACUUGGCCUAGUGAUGUAUUCAUCAUUGUAUAGGCGAUAUAAACUUUUAUCAGGUACCUACUAAAUUAUACAGUUAAAAUCUCCCAGCCGACAAAGGAAUCAUAAUAUUUUGAUCAUAGUAGUUAUGUUCCAACAGAUGAACAUUCCCUUCCAUCUAUCAAAAAUUCGUAUUUCUUAAUCAAGCAUCUUUAUGAGUUACAAUUGUAUGAACUUUAUUAUAAGUUCAACUCAGAGUCCAACUUUAGUGCACAAUUAUACUUUAGUGUACACAAUAAUACUUUAUGUGCAUAUGUGCAAAAAUCAUAACGNAAUAAUACUUUAUGUGCAUAUGUGCAAAAAUCAUAACGUGUUCUUAUUCAAGAAGAAAAAAUUCAAACUGUAAACGUAGUUAAGAUACCUAUACAAUCAAUAUGAUCCUUAUACCUGUUUUCUAGAAUGCUUUAGUCAUAGGAUUAGAGAUCAUCAUCUCAGUCCCAAUUUCUUCUUCUUGUCAUAUUCUUUCAUAGCAAUGUAUUUUAUAUCGAACUUUUUGCUGCGAUCUGUAAUUCGACUAAUUGUAAUAAAAAACACUAGCAGAGUUAUCACAAUAAAUCUUAAUUGUCCUGUGAUAGAGUCGACAACUCUUAAAUCUAAGAUAAAAUUUCUCAGCCAUAAAGCUUGUGACGAAGCCUCAUAACAAGUGAUGAACUAUCGACCGUCCCUAGCGCAAGUGGCAAAGGACUUGGUGGUUGGUACCCAAGGACCCAAGUUUGAAUCCUAGUUGAUUCACAUUUUCAGUUAAGUUUAUUUCUAAAAUAAAAUAAACGAAGCGCGUAGCAUGUUACCUAUCUCUAAAAAAAAAAAGUGAUGAAUUUUGCCUCAAUAAUGGAUGUAGUAACUGUAUCCUACUUAGUGCGCCUCCAAGAUAUAGUUCCCUGAGCAAGGAAUAAAAUAUAUUCCGAUGUGGACAUUCUAGAAUUCGGAUAUGCAGCAAAAUCAGAGUCCAAAUAACUAACCACUUCAAGAUGUUCGAAAUGCCUAUAAGUGAGCAUAUAGUCCUUUAUUCUCUAUAAAUAUCAUGACCUUCUUCACAGCUUUCUAAUGAUCAAGGGCAGGGUUGCUUUAGUAUCUACCCAACAACCCCACUACAUGAGCUAUAUCAGGCUUGGUAUAGACCUGCGCAUACAUUAAGCUCAUCCCUAAUGUAGAGGCAUAGGGUAUGCUCUUCAUAUGCUCUCAUUUUAAAUUAUGGGUAAUGUUUUUGAUUGAAUCUGUCACCUUUCACUAUAGGCGUAGCUGUAGGUGCAAAAUUUGCCAUAUUAAAUCUUUUUAGAACUCUUUCGAUAUAGGCUUUUUGAGAUAAACCCUACUGCAAGCUGUCUAUAGAAACUGUUGACCCAGUCAAAACUCUCUUUUAGGAAGCAAGUCGUGAGACAGGUCGUCUCCUGAUGAUGAUCCUUGAAUCCACCCAAAACAGAAUCAAGCGAUCGGCUAAGGAGGGAUCCGAUCAACCAAGUCCGAACACUUGAAUAUAUUUUGACUCAGCUGAAUUAGCCGACUGACUUCAAUAUAUUUCGAAAAAAUAAAGAUGUAUAGGAAGAUAUGUGUCACGCCCCAAUCCCCGCCAAUUUGGUCGGGUUCGGGUCACGUCAACAGACGCCGAACGGACAACAUCUCCUUUGUCCGCCCAAGGCUCUAACAACAAGUAUAAUUAAGCAAUCAACCAAAGUAAUUUGCAAUUAUACAAGGCUUGCACGAGGGCAAGCAACAACGGAAGCGAAAGCUCUAAGCUAAAUAUACAACCAUACACAAUAUUUGAUUACAUUUAAACCAAAUACUUGUAACUAAAACUAUUACAUUCAAUUUACUUUCAUUCAUAGUUCUUUGUACAUCAUAAUCAUUCUCCAAAAAUACAGGAAUUGUUUUCAACUUUUACAUCUAUAAAUCAACAAAUGAAAGUUGAUACAUGUACGCAAAAGGGAAUGACUAAAUGCAUAAACUCCGGUGGCCACUAGCUAUGGCGCAAUACCCUUCCCUCGAUACUCCGCCGCCCGGCUCGCGCUCGGACCUGUAGGGUUAGUGGUGUGAGAACUACAACGAAGUUCCCAGUGGGUUCGGCAAUCGACCUCGCCGACUUACCCACUAGGUCUAUUCAGGCAUAAGUAUUUCAAAGGAAAGGAAAACUGUAAACAAUGCUAAUGCUAAUACUAUGCCUGCAAGAAAGCUGUCAGCGGAUAUAUAAAAUCAAAUAUGAAUGAUUAUGCAUGCAUGCUCUUUUCAUAAGUAUACUUUGGCUUUUACCCAAUCUUACCGGUUAACCAUCUUAACUCCAAUAACUCACAACUCAAAAUCCCUUAAUAACGGGGGACUCGAACCACCCUAGGGACCGUCUUCUGGGGGGACUUUACCACGCCCAGUGGUGACCAACUCCGGAGCGCACCGCCCGAUGGAGAGCUACCUCCCUCAAGCUAAGACUUAUCGUGAGUAUCGAUCCAAUCCUCAACUCGAGGAUAUAUAGCCACUAGUCACAAUGCCAUUGUCAUAAUAGAUUUCUACCUAUUUGUUCAUGCCACUUUUUAAGUCAUUCUUGUUACGAUGCCACUACGAUUAAACCUUGUUUAACAACCAAUGUCUUAAUGCCAAUCUUGUCUCUAUUGUCAAUGUCACCUUUGUUUACUAUAAUUAAGGUCCAAGUCUCACAAUCUUUAGGGUUCUACUAUACAUGUCCAUUAAUCCAUCAUUCUCUAUGUUCAACUACAUUAGAAGCAUAUAAAUAAAGUCAAACCAAGGUUCACAUGUAAACUACCUUAUCAUGCAUGAAUGAUACUAUACAAAGAUAUGCUCAACAAAGGCGAAAUAGACAUAAAGGGGAAUCCAACGAUUCCGGUAUGCACCUCCUACCUUGAAUAGUGUAGAAGGGUUGUAGUUCGACUCUCGUGAUUUUAGGACGCCUCUCCCGCGACCUAUACCAAAAAUAGUACCGAAUUAGGCUCUAUACACAAGAUCUCUUACUUAACCUAUUUCAUAACGUCAAACGGAGUUGUUUCACGCGUCGGGAAUAACUAUAAUUAGGUUUCCAAGAGGUCAAUCUACCUUGAAAACAACCGGAGGCAAAAGCCCCAAAAUCCAUGCCCUAACAAUGCCAUAAUGGAAUUUCUCCUAGAUUGAUCUCAAUCUUAAGCAAAAGUUAGCUUAGAUUCAACUAGGAAGCAUUCUAAUACCAUCACUAAGCCAUUCGUAUCAUUCCUAGGGCAUCUAGCAUGAUCCCUAGUUAUCCACCAUGAGAGCACCUUGAAAAACCAUGGAUUUCAUGGUGCUCAAGCCUCAAAAGGGUUUCUAAAGCUAGAAAUAAACUCAAAACUCUAAAACUUAGGGUUAAAUCCAAACCCUAGAUGUGCUCUACUCUAAAACUUACCUUAGCCCAAGCUCCUCCCAAGGUCCUUCUUGUUAGAGAGCUCCAAGAUCCUCCAAAGCCACCAAAAUCUCCUUCAAUGUCUUCUUCUCCUUCAAUUCCUUGCCCUAGAGCAAGAUCUCUAGAGAGAGAAAGAGAGGAAUGAGAGAGGGAGAGAGUUGGGGUGUUGGCUGUGAAGGAGAGGGGUGUUGGGGUAAUAACAUAUUGUGACAUUUGCAAGUAAGCCUUCCAAAUAUCUCUAUUUGCAACAGACCUUAUUGUUGCUGCCAGACCAAAGUAUACCGGUACACGGGAUUUUGUACCGGUACAACUCUGCGUAGAGGCCAAACCGGAGAGCCACUCUCUCGGUUACGCGGGAUUUGUACCGGUACAUUUUCAAAGUGUUCCGGUACACUUCCAAUUAUUUUUUUUCAAACCCGAGGGCUUACUCUUCUCGGGUUGCAGGGCUGUAUCGGUGACAACUCGCUGGUUGUACCGGUACACUUUGCCCAGAAAGCUGGCUUUGCGCCGUUUUUGAUUCUAUUUCGCGCCGAUCGAUACUAAAACCUUUCUAACAUCUCUUAAACUCAUUUUUAGCCCUUCCAACAUUGUUGGAAUGCUAAAUGCAACUUGUUCAUCCAUCUUUUUCGCAUACUUUAGUCAAUUUGGCUAAAGUUCGAUAAUUUCUUCCGGGUUUCAAUAUGUUACAAUAUGUCUUUUUGCUAACUUACUAAGCUCUUAACUACAGGAAAAGCAAUAAAAUCUACUGUAACUAACAAGAAAAUUUAUCUUAACACUCCUAGGGAAUCGAUAAGAGUGGAAAAUAAAAGAAAUUGAAAUUGCGGUGGUCUCUUGUACACGAAAUGACCUUUUGUGCAGACAAGUUUUGUUUAUUUAUAAUCUUGCCUGCCGUUAUUUAGUUAAUCCUUGUCAUGGGGGUGUAUUUCAGCACGUCCCUUUUUCCUCAGAUUAUGCCUUAGUAGUUUCUUCCCACGUCUUUAGCUUCAUCUAAAACUGCUUUCCCAUUCCAGGCCUCUCUCAACUCCAGGUGUAUCACGUGUGGCUUUGUAUAUGGUUCUUUUAUUUCGUCCACGUGGUCCAACCUUUCCUUCCAUGUGACGCCAUUUUUGAGGCGCCAAUAGACCCAGAAUUCUUUGAGAUGUAUUCCUGUGAAUGUUUUAUGCCAAUGACAUAAGAAGUUUCAUCCAUAUCUUUUAUCUCAAUGUUCUUAGAAAGAAAAUCUUUGGUCUUCUUAAGCAAACUCGAAUCACUACUUGCAAGGAGAGUAUCAUUCACGUACAAGAUUAAGAAAAUAUAUUUACUCCCACUGAUCUUAAAGUAUAUACACUGAUCCAUGAUAUUUUCUAUGAAACUGAAUGUAGUAAUUACAUCAUUAGACUUGAUGUACCAUUGGCGAGAGGCCUGCUUGAGCCCAUAUAUGGACUUCUUUAGUCUGCAAACAAGGUGAUUGUUUCAUUUAAAAAACUCUUCUCCAUGGCUGAGCUACAAAAGCCAUGAUAAUUUUUUAUAAAUCCUUCUUGAAUGCCGGAGACAAGGUUUCAUGAUAAUCAAUGUCUUAUAAAAUGGACAUUAAAAUGUUCCUUUGUCAUAUAGACCACAGUCAUGGUCUCAUAAUUUUUCAUCAAUUUUAGUAUUGGUUUUUGUGACUCCAACAAUGCCCCCCCGGAUAGCCACCUGAACAAUCGUUUCGGGUGGCUGGCGUCUCUUUGUUUCAACAACCGAGAUUUGGGCACCGCGGGUUCAAUUGUUGAUGCCAUCCCUUGUAGUCACAUCACUUGUGGCUUCAACAGGUCGUGUCUUUGGUCAUUUCGUACUUGAUUUUCGUCUUUCGACAGGUAUGAUUUCUAGUGCCUUUUGUCUCAUUUAGGGACGACUAUGAUUUUUUGUGCCUUUUGUCUCAUCUAGGGCAUUAAUAGCUGCUGUUAUAUUGUCAUUAUACAUUAUUUUGAAAUUCCCUUCGACGGAUUCGUCUUCUUCCUGCCCUCUUGUUUCUUCCUUUUUGACUCAUUUUCUUCAUUCUCAAGGAUCUUCUUUUUCAACCCUUUUAUUUCUUUUCAAGAUCUUCUUCUUCAACUCCAAACUUCUUUCAAUGGCUCGGAUUUCUUCUCUCCCUUCAUCUCUAGAUCUUGACUACACUCUUCUAAGACAAUAUAUUGAGACGAACUCUUCUCGCUUCGUACUCGGCCUUUUCUUUCGUGGCGCCUUCUGCAGUCAAUGCUUUUCCUUUUUCUGCAGAGGGGCUUCUUUUAAUGGCCAAUGUCAUCCAUCUUCAUUCCUGAUCUUUCUCAAAGUCAUUAGAGAAGAGUCUUCGUACACCUGGUUGGACCGAAUUUAGGGGUCUUAUGCCAAUCUUUGGUGUGAAGUUGGGAUCUAUGAAGAUAUCCAACUUUCGAGGACCCUUUCUUAAGCCGACAACCUUUUUCUUGUUGCGGCUUUAUAUUAUGGUCUUUAGUCUCUAACACUUUCUUCUUCAAGACGGGGCCCUUUACCCUGACCCUCUUUGACGUGGCGGCGAUCAUGAUCAUUCAGUCUCCAUUCUUAUGGCAUCGUUCUAUCCAUGGUGUACAACCCUGAUGGAGUGGCGAAUUUUGAAGCCCACCCUAGAUCUGAAGGCAGAUCUUGUUUACACCAAGUUUAUGUAGCGGUUUGCAGGUCAGUCUUCCGCUACGGUCACCAGGAAGGAGCAUACUACCUUUCUCUUCUAUUGACUGUGCCAUAAUCUCUUCUGCAGCCGCUCGCAGAAGGUCAAUCAGGACUUUGUCCCCAUUGUUAUUGCGCUUGCCAAUAGCGAAAAGUUAGCACUCGGUUUAUACUUCCUUUCUUUCCUCUACCGAGAAAUCUUUGAGUCGAUCAAGCCACUGCUAUUGAAGAAUGGCGUGUCGAUCUGCUCCGACUGUGGCUUUUUUUAUUUUUGCAACUUUGCCUGCAGCUCUUAUUUUCGGCCCUAUGCCGAAUCCCCCUUGUCCAAAAUUCGGCUCCUAAUUUUGAUACUUACGGACUAGCCCUCGGCUGUCCAGAGCCCCUUACUUCAGAUUAGCUUGAUGAUUUUUUUACUUACUUUCGGGUCUUCUAUGCCAAAGACCAACAGCGUCUCAUCAGGUGGUCCCCUUUUGGAGAGUGACUGACCGGCCUGAAAUGGUUCAUCGCUCAGUACAAGGCUGUCGAGGAUCAGAGGGCUUAUUUCGAUUCCAGCGAGCACUCUGAGGUAUGGUACUCUUUUUUGGCCCCGCAGGAUCUUCAUGUCAGCCUAAAGAUCAAUCAAAGUUGACGUUGAGUAUUGAGGUCAACUGCCCUCAUUAUGUGGCGCGCCAAUUUAGUUUAGUUCAGGCAAUCCUAGCUUCAUCCAAAUUCUUUACAUCUAAUACUGCCUGUAGCCAUUCUCCUACGAAAAGGGUAGCCGAAGCAGAUUGGCUCUCAGCUAUGGGGAAUCUCCUUAGGCACCUUUUUACUUGUGUGGGUUUUCGACAGAAUCACAUAGGGUUGACCGAGCUUCACUUCUGGGGUGCUUGAGAAAGCUUCUGUGAGAGUAUCAUUUCCAAGACCUUUGUCUCACUGCCUCCACAACAUCCUUCAAACAGAAGGUAUUUUAUCUCUUUUUUGAUUCAAUUCCCUUUUUCUUCUUUUCUUUAAUUUCUUUUGCUUGUUUUAGCCAACACUUCUGCGGGCAGAGAAGCCGUGCCCGAUUCCGCAGAACAAGAGGAUUCAAGUGAAAGUUUCGACAAGAAUCCAGAGGUCUCGCUUCGCUCCUCAGUGGUAUAUUUCGCUUUUCAUGGUACAUCUGUAUUUAUUGUGCUUUCAACUUUUUUUUUUUUUCUUUUUAGCCGGUACGUUUUCCGUCAUCGGCCAAGCUACCAGAGAAGUAGCCGAUCAAAUACAUCCCCCCAGCUCCUUCGCUGCAGCAAAAGUGGUGAAAAUUGAUUGCGAUUAGAAUUCGCUCUCAACUUCCCCCUGCGUCAGCUAAAAGUGUACCGUCUGUGGAGAAGCCGACCAUUGGUGUUAUACCCUCGGCUGAAACUACUAUUUCAGAGGUACUAGAAUCGGUCCCGACAAGGACCCCCAUUUAGUCAACUCCUGCUGAAGAAGGCCUGCAACAAGUUUCAUUAUUGGCCGAGGUAAAUCCUUAGCCUAUUUUGAUUGAUUCCCCUUCUGAUCCUUCUCGCUUUUCAACUGGAUCACCGCCAUUAUUCCUAUCGGUCGAGUAACUAAUGGAGAUGACGUCUGGUAAGACCUCGGCAAAGAUCCCACAUUCUUGAUUUGCCUUAGCGCUCGUCGAGCUCGUUGAGAAGCUCGCCUCCACUUUUUUGCAAUGACAGGCGAGCUUGUCGAGACGUCGCCAGGAAAAGGAACAAGAGGAUGAGAGAAGAUGAAAAGAGAAGAAAAAAUAGGAGGGAGAAAAUGGUGAAGGAAAGAAGGAGAAAGGAGGGAAGAAAGAGGUAAAGAAAGGAGAUAAAAGCAGGAUGGGAAAGGGAAUCGAACUAGCCUCCCUUGGUGAAUCUCCGAUUGAAGCUUCGAGUUCAGUCGUCAUACCGACAAGUAGAGACCCUACGUCUUCUAGUAUGUCGGAAAAUGUUCUGGCGAUUUUCCUUCAAGAGCUAGCUGCUUUGAGCCCCAAAUAUAAUGAAAAGGAGGACUUUUCUGCUGCAUGUUAGCCGAAACCCAGCAGAAGUUGGAUGAAUGUCUUCAGCUGUACAGUAGUGGUCUUUCUACUUUAGCUCGAAGCCUGGCUCAAUUCAAUCGACUCGGAGCUCUUCUCAUUGACCUCUUAGAACAAUCUGACUUAUCCUUUUCAGGUCAAUGUUUUGCGAAGACAUUAUCUACGUGCCUCUCUCCUUUCCUAACUCGGCAACAAACUCUCUCUACCAAGUAUGUCACCCUGGAUGCUCAUUUUUCAUUAGUUGGUUCUUUCAAGAUGAAGGUUAACGAGUUGGUGGUUCCUCCAACCGAUUGCAAUAAACAGGGUGAUAUUUUGAGAGAUCAGGAAUCAGCUCUUCGGCAGAAGAUUGCCUAUCUUAAGAAAGAGCUUGCCGAAGCCAAGGGUGCCCUGGCUCCCAUAUCUCAGGAACUUGAUUCUCUCUGAGUGCAAUACCAGGCUAAGAGAGAGAAAGAGGUAGCAGUCUACGAACAACUCUCCUAUCUCUACAAGCUUCAUUCGAUGAUGAAGCGAAAAAAAUGUGCAGCUGAUCAAGCUAAGGCAAACCUGUAAGCCGAAUGAAUCAACUUAAAGAUUUAUUGUUAUAGUCUUUUGGCUUUUAAGUAUUUUUUUGCAUCAGCUGUAAUAUAUUUUGACAUUUAACUUGUUUAUUUCUUUUUAUGAUAAUAUAUUUAUUCAUUUUUGCAAACAAAAGGGUAAUACUUUCUUAAGUACUUUCCGUUAAUCGGUUUGUUAUUUUUUAAUCCUUCCAAUGUCUUUAAGAAAUAUGCAUUGCCUUCGGUAUUUUGUAUAUUUGGAAAGGUUCUUCCCAAUUUGGAAACCAUUUUCCAUAUAGUUGACCUNGUUUAUUUCUUUUUAUGAUAAUAUAUUUAUUCAUUUUUGCAAACAAAAGGGUAAUACUUUCUUAAGUACUUUCCGUUAAUCGGUUUGUUAUUUUUUAAUCCUUCCAAUGUCUUUAAGAAAUAUGCAUUGCCUUCGGUAUUUUGUAUAUUUGGAAAGGUUCUUCCCAAUUUGGAAACCAUUUUCCAUAUAGUUGACCUUGUAAGAUGAUCGACAAUACUAAUUUUAGUACUAAAUCUCCAACUUUAAAAGACUGCCCUGACUUUCUUGUUGUACACAUUACUUACUCAGCUCUAAUAGGCUUUAAAAUAGUCGAAUGCCAGCAGCUGAGUCUCAUCAAUCUUGUCUAAAUUUUCGCACAUCGAGAGUUCAUGCUGUCUAGGCGUUAACUCUUUUUGUCCCUCGACUGUCAGGCCCCAGGGCCGAUUUUGAAAGCCUUUUUAUAAUGAAUAUCAUUUUUGAAAUCAGAGUUACGAAAAACGUAUCAUUCCUUUUUUUUUUUGAAUUCAACCUGGCCCACGUGACGUAAAGAUCCGCAACAAAUACAAAGUUCCUCUGUCCACUCGGAUAGAGUUUCCUUUGUAUUUGCACAGCUACCAACAACAACAUCAGGAUCACAACCACAAUCUAUAUUCAUCGAUCUACAAACAAUCUAUGCGAUGCAUUUUCAUACAGCUAGUGAUCCUUAGAGAUGAUGCAUGUCUCUAAACACUCCUUAGGCGUUGAAUGAUGCGAUGCACAGUACAACUGUAACACACUGGACCUGUGCAAAUUGCGAGGUUCGAGUGUUUGAUAUGGAUUUCGAGCUUUUCCACACUUGGUGGAAGGUCGUAGACUGUAUUUCGACCUAAAAGAUCGAAUUCCUGGAUUUUGGCUAAGUCCUGAGAGUUUUCACUCUCAGGGACUGGUCCCUGGUGGGAGAGACCGGUCCCCCCGGAAUAGUGUUGCGGCAGACUUGAGGCAACCGGUCCCUGGCUGUGAGAGACCGGUUCCUGCGAGCAUGUUCUGCGGGAGGGUCCUGAGGGACCGAUCCCAGCUGGGAGAGACCGGUCCCUCUGGGCAAAAAUUGCCCAGUUCGGGCUGAUGCACUGCUUGGAUUAUUGAGGGACCUAGGUGGAUUUUGUUACUUGAGAGGGCUUUUAGGCCAUUUCCUCUCUCUCUUUUCCUCACUUCUCACUCUCUCACACUCUCUAGAAAGAGAAGAAGAAAGAGAAACAAGAGGAGAAGAAGGAGAAAGGGAAGAAGGAGAGCUUGCCUUGUGGACUUGGGACUUCUUCCUCAACCUCUCCUCCCACCAUUGGAGGCUUGGAGCUUGGACUUGGAGCUUUGUGGAGGAUCAAUCUUCAACCCUUGAGAAUUUUGAGCUUGGUUUGGAGCAUUCUAGAGGUAAGUGACUAGCUUCCUUCCUCUAGAUCCUAGUUUUGGAGCUUUAAACUAGAUGAAACAUUAGAUUUGGAUUUUAGGAUUUAUUUUGGGGAUUUUUGAUUGGUGGGCUUUGGGACCCAAUUGAUUCGUUUAGAACCUUCCUUUAGGUUGGAUUGGAAUGGUUCUUGCUCUCUCUUGCAACUUGAGAAGGGAUUUCUACACAAGAGGUGAGUUUUGCCCUUUUCUUGAAUCGGUUAAAGAUUGAGCUUAGUAUUGUUCGUAAGGUUCGUUUGACUCUUGUUCCUACAUUUUUAGGGUGCUAAGAGACUAGUGGACACCUCCGUUUGGCGAAACGAAGAGUUCCGUUUUUUGGUGGGUUUGACUUCAUGAAAACGGGGCAAAAUUACCCCUAUGCUUUCUAUACUUAUCGUAAAGUCUUUUUGAAUAUAAAUCCAUGUUAGAUAGGAUUUAUGUGAAUUUUAGAAUACUUAAAAUGCAUGUGCUAUGUGUAAAAUAAAUUUCACUCUAUAUAGUAGAGCAUUCUGGGUAAUCUUCAUGCAGGUGAGAAGUGUUCGAGAUAGCAACGAGAAUCAUGUCUCUUAUGUUAAGUUAACUCAUAAUUGGGUAAUUGUAAACACUGCACUAUGAUUGGACUUGGUGAACAAAGUGUCAUAAAGGGGCACUUGACUUUAUAGACUGUGAAGCUAUUAUAUUGAGACAUUGACAUGAUGACAUAGAGAUAGGCCUUGAGACAUUCGAUACAUUCCAUGUUGUUAGGCAUAAGGACCUGGUACUUGAGACGGAUCUUACGCUAUUUGCCAUUGUGCUCAUUCGCACAUGUUUGUGAGGGUCGCUUCCUACAAGCCGGCACUUCGUAGAUGGCCAUCGCGAUACAUAUUCGCCGUGUGGGAUUGGGCGCCGAAAUGGAUUGCCGUGGGAAAGGCUCAUUCCUAGAGUGAGGAUGUUGACUACCACGGGACCAUUAGGCUCGGCAACGGCCAGACAGCCUACGGGUGAGUCUUCAGGCCAGACAGCCUUCGGGCGGGUCUCACGAGAUUUAACUUUAAGUAGUUAACAUGCCAUGUGGAUAUUGACUAGAAUAGUAAACAAUGACAUCUUUACUAUUUAGCUUGUGGAUAUCAUACUAGCGAUAUUUGGUACAUUCAUGCUAGUGUAGCCUUUUAUUACUUGAGCAAAAUCAUGCUAAGUAGUGAUAUCUUGUGGUAGUAAGCAUUCUUGUUUCUUUACUCGUUGUACUUAUCACUCUUACUUAUGCUUGUUUACUGACCCCUUUUUGUAGCUUGUGGGUCUAGUGGCGCAUUUCACUGAAGUCAGUAAUUGCUCACUGGGAACUAUUAUUUAAUAGUUCUCACGCCCUCUAUUUUAUGGUUUUAUUUUAGAGCCUUUGGCACCGGCGGAGGCACGGGAUCGCGGCAAGGGUGUCGCCUAGCUUGAUAGAUAGCGGAGCUCGCUUUUGCUCCUAGGUGGUUACUCUCUCUUUUUUUUGUGUUUUUGUGUGAGAGAGGUUUUGUACUAUGUAUAGAAAUCACCUAUGUACCUUGUUUAGCUCUUGUAUUUGGGACUCCUAUUGUAUUACUUUAUGGUUUUAUCUAGUGGAUUUGGCUUAUGUUCUUUUUCCUUAUUGUAGCCUCUAGAUAUACUUUGCUCUGAUACUCUUAGAUGUUCUUCUUCUAUUGCCUUAUUUAUCGUUUUGUAUUAGACGUCUUGUAUGUUUUAGACAUAUGGCGGGUCUGGGCACGUGCCGUGCGGGCUUCCGCUGGGUCCCGGGGCGUGACAACAACAAUCAUCCUAUUUAAAAGUGCUCCCCACCCGGAAGUUUUGUUUUUAAACUUUAUUUAAUCAUCCAAAAAACCAUUCGAAAAUCUUUUAAAACUGGUUCCUACUCGGAAACUCUAUUUUGAAAAUCGACUACCUUGAGGGAUAGAAAACUACAAUGCGUAAAUACAUAAAUCCAAAACCAAGGAUCCGUAAAUCUCAAAUCGCAUGCAUAAUGGAAAAUAUCAACUCAAACCAGUUCACAAAUACUGAAACAAUAAUAGUAAUCAUCUAACUGAACCAUUUAAUUAUUUAAAUUACUAAAUGCGAAAAUAAAAUAUAACCAGGGUGAUGGUUGCAACUGCAGUCUAGCUAGUACGUUCUCCUGUCGCACCAAGAACCAACUACUUGCCCGAGUCACCUGGGGAAAUGGGAGGGGAGGGGGGGUGAGAAACCACAAUCAAGAUUUUCUAGUGGGUACGACAGAGCCACGAAGGCAAAUCGUAUUCACUGGAAAACAAAGAAGAUAGAACAACAGAUAUAUGUAUAAGGAUAUGAAGAACGACUACAGUAGUUAUAACAACAGGUAUAAUAGAGAACGAGUAAUAAAAACUGGUAUUGUAAAGAAUACAAUACUGAGCAUGCCACAAGGUAAUCAACUCAAAACUGUACCCAAUCUGGUGCCUGCUAUAUUGGUCCGCAGCUAGAUUGUGGUUGUGACAAGCAACGCUUGAGGUCUGCGGACCAAUAUAGCAGGCACCAGAUUGGGUAUAGUUUUGGAUUGAUUACCUUGAGGCAUGCUCAGUAUUGUAUUCUUUACAGUAGCAGUUUUUAUUACUCGCUCUCUAUUAUACCUGUUGUUAUAGCCACUGUAGUCGUUCUUCAUAUCCUUAUACAUAUAUCUGUUGUUUUAUCUCCUUUGUUUUCCAGUGAAUACGAUUUGCCUUCGUGGCUCUGUUGUACCAACUGGAAAACCUUGAUUGUGGUUUUUCACCCCCCCAUUUUCCUAGGUGACUCGGGCAAGGAGUUGGUUCUUCGUGCGAUGGGAGGACAUACUAGCUAGACUGCAGUUACGACCGUCACCCUGGUUAUAUUUUAUUUUCGUAUUUAGUAAUUUAAAUAAUUAAAUGGUUCAGUUAGAUUAUUACUAUUACUGUUUGAGUAUUUGUGAACUGGUUUGAGUUGAUGUUUUCCAUUAUGCAUGCGAUUGGAGAUUUAUGGAUCCUUGGUUUUGUAUUUACGUAUUUAUACAUUGUGGUUUUUUACCCCUCGAGGUAGUCGGUUUUCAAAAUAGAAUUUCCGAGUGAAAAACAGUUUUAAAAGAUUUUCGAAUAGUUUUCUGGAUGAUUAAAUAUUACUUAAAAACAAAGCUUCCAGGUGGGGAGCACUUUUAAAUAGAAUAGCUGUUGUACCGUGCAUCACAUCAUCCAGCACCUAAGGAGUGUUUAGAGGCAUGCAUUAUCUCUAAGGAUCGCUAGCUGUAUGAAAAUGCAUCGCAUGGAUUGUUUGUGGAUUGGUGAAUGUAGAUUGUGGUUGUAAUCCAGCUGUUGUUGUUGGUACGCCGUGCAAAUAUAAAGGAGACUCUGUCUGAGUGGACAAAGAAACUUUGUAUUUGUGGCUGGUUUGUACAUCACGUGGGCCAGAUUGAAUUCAAAAAAAAAAAGGAAUGUCAGGUUUUUCGUAACUCUGAUUUCCAAAAUGGUAUUCAUUAUAAAAGGCUUUCAAAAUCGGCCCAGGGCAUGACAGAUUAAGAUGGUAUCAGAGCCAGUUCACCAGCCGAAAAUAUGUGGCGAGUCUCGGCUGAGUCAGGGUCUGAAAGACAAGGGGAUAGGCUAUGCUAGAGUCUGAAUGACAAGGCGACUGGGUAUGCCAGGGUUUGGAUGACAAGGCUAGCGAGACGAGUCUCACAUCGUCUGGUGAUCUUGGGCUGUGUGUGUGAUUGGACUGAUGAGGACAUCAGGGCCUUAACGGGGGAAGUCUGUCACACCCCAAUAAUCCCACAUCGGAUAUGAAUGGGGAUGUGAUUGGGUAUAUAAAAAACUUAGACACUAGUAAUAAUAACUGGGCUUAAGCAUUUUGGGCCGGUGUUUGGGCCCAAAGAGUUAUUAUUGCUAGUGGGCUGGGUUGUUAAUCGACUCUUAAAGAGGGGACUAUUAUUUCAUGGGCAAAACCUCCUCGUGAUCGUGGACCAAUCGAAAGGGCGUGACCCCUGUCGCUGUCUUGACGCUUGUUUGGCAUGUCGACAUUACCUCCGAGAGUUUCUCAUUCUACUUUUUCGGAUUUUAAAUGUGCCACUUCAUCAGAUUUAUAAUAACCUUAUUUAUCUCUUCGGCCUGUCCAUUGGCCUUUAUCUCUCCGGCCUGUCCAUUGGCCUCUGCGUAAUAAAGUGACAAGUGAAGCAGCUUGAUCUGUCCCGACUCCAAGAAUCUUGAGAACUAUUCCCUUGUCAGUUUUGAUCAUUUUAGGAAUCUCGAAACUAUGGAUAAUGGAGUCUUCCACGAAUUCUAUAACAUCCUUUUUAGUGUCCAUUCUCGUAGGUUUUACUUUUACCCACUUGGUGAAAUAAUCCAUGGCCACUAUUUGGAACUUGUGUGCAAUCGAGGAGUUCGGCUCCAAUGAGAUCCAUAGCCUAACCACGGAAUGACCAAGGCUUGAUAAUUGUGUACAUCUUAGAGGUCGGUACUCUUCCCACCGGGCUAUGGAAUUGGCACUCCUGACAUCCUUUGGCAUAUCUUAUGUAGUCUUUGUGCAUAGUCAGCCACUAGUAUCCCUAGUGCCGAAUUGUGCACCUCAAUCCUUUUUCGGUGAAGUGUGCCCUACAAAUCCUUCAUGGAUUUCACCCAUGACUAUCAAAGCUUCAUUAGCUCCUAAACAUUUCAGGAGUACUUCUUUGGCCGUUCUUCUAUAAAGCUAUCCGUUUAGUAGACAAAUAGCCAAACACUUUUUUUGUAGCGGGUAACUACCUUGUCUACUCGGAUUAUUGAGAAACUCAACUAGAGGUGUUUUCCAAUCAUUCUGCACCCCGACAGAGGCGAUCAUCAUUGGUUCUCGUGUAUGAACCGAUGGUAGCAGUCCUUUUCCCACCUUGACUUGGCUCAUUUCUCUCAACUCCUUAUAUCCUAAAGCUAACUGAGCCAACUCAUUCAGUUUCUUAUUUUCUUCUCUUGAUAGGUGUGCGAAUUCUACUUUUCCGAAUCUGCUAAGUAGUUUCACUGUUUUAUUCAAGUAGUUUUGUAGAUUAUGGCUUUCACAUCGGUAUUUUUUGAUCACUUGUUUGAUCACUAACUGCGAGUCACCGAUGACCACUACAGAUCGUACUCUUAAUUCCUCUAGAAUCUCGAGGCCAAUUAUUAGUCUCAUAUUUGGCUUGAUUAUUUGAGCAAUCAAAAUUUAGCUCGAAGGAAAAUUGAAAAGUUUUGCCCUCGGGUAAUCGUAUGACUAUUCCAGCCUCUGCUGAGUCGGCUAUCCUGGACUUGUCAAAAUAAAGCGUCUACUGUCAGAAACUAAUUAGGUUUUGCCUGCGCUCUUCAACUUCGACGCAUGGAUGACUGGCCAGAAAGUCGACUAUCGCUUGACCUUUAACGACCCUUGCUAGAAAGUAGUUGAGAGAGAACUUGGACCAGGCUAACAUCCAGCGUCCUAUUCUUUCUCUUAAUACUAAUUUUGACAACAUGUAUUUUAUAAUGUUGGUUUUGCAAACAACCGAUACUUCGACAAGUAGAAUAUAAUAUCUUAGCUUGGUACAUGCAUAAUACAACGCCAGACAUAGUUUUUUCAUUAUCGAAUAGCACUGUUUGGCAUCCAGCAGGUGUCGGCUGAGAUAAUAAAUUGCGUGCGCCUCUUUCAAACCAUUAUCUUGGGCUAAUAGGCAUCCCAAAUUUGCUUAUGCAGCCGAGAUGUACAAUUUCAUCGGCUGUCCAUACUCAGACGAAUAAGUAUUGGAGGGCUGAUGAAGUAUUUUUUAAUACUCUCGAGCGCCUCUUGGAGUUCGUUUGUCUAUAAGAACUCCUAAUUUUUCAGCCGAAGCAAUAGAGUGAACACUCCUAUUCUGUCGGCUAGAUUUGAUAUAAAUCAUCUAAACUAAUUUAUUUUUUCCAGUAGACUUUGUAGAUCCUUUUUUACUUUUUAAUCGCCUUUGUCUUAUUUUUAUCUAUCUCGAUUUCUUUUUGAUAGGUCCAGAAACUAAGAAAAUUUUCAGCCGAUAUUCUGAACGCGCAUUUCAGAGAGUUCAUUUUUAAGUUGUACUUCGUCAUGUGUUUAAAGGCUAAUUCUAAAUCGGCCUAAUGAUCGGUCUGAGACUUGAAUUUUACAACUAUAUCAUCAAUAUAAACUUUCAACAUUUUAUCGAUUAGAUCAUGAAAGAUAAAAUUCGUUGCCCACUGGUAAGUAGCUCUGGCAUUCUUUAAACCGAAAAGCAUCACUACGCACUCGAAAGUCCCGAUAGAUCCGGGGUAUCUGAAAGCUGUUUUCGCUAUAUCUUCUUCAGCAAUAAAAAUCUAAUUGUAGCCAGCAUGACCGUUCAUAAAGGACAUGAUUUCAUGUCUGGCUAAAGCAUCCACUAGGAUGUCAGCUAUGGGCAUUAGGUAUUCAUCUUUGGGAGUAGCUGUAUUCAAAUUCCUAAAGUAAAUGCAAACUCUAAGUUUGCCAUUUUUUCUUUCGCACUAGAAUAUGUUCGAUACCUAGACGAUAUAACGAGCGCUCUAAUAAAUCCGACUCUUAAAAGAUUUUCGAUUUCAUUUUUUAUUUGCAUUACAAUACUUGGCUUGAAUCUACAAGUUGGCUAUUUAUCAGGCUUGUAUCCCUUCUUUAUGGGGAGCCAAUGUUCUGCAAUUUUUCGGCUUAGUCCUGAUAUUUUCUAAUAGCUCUAGGUGAAACAAUCUUUGCAUUUUCUUAACAACUCGGUUAGCUUCUCCUGUUGUUGUGUUGAAAGUCUUGUGCUAAUGAAGGUCAGCCAUUUGUUGCCGUCCAACCCUAGAUUCACUUCAAUCAGCAGAUCUUGGGUUUCUAACCUCUUCUCACUGACCUUAAUCAGUGAUUCUUCUGCGAAGUUAGUUUUGGUUUGGAUUCCUGAGUCCGAUUUUCGUUUUUCACCUAGCUCGUCGGCCUUGUCAGCCAAUGCUAUUACUUCGUUAGCCAUGUCUUUCUUGGCCUCGGUAGCAAGGACUUAAGUGUCGUACCACAGGGUUGUGCCGGAAACUUGCCGGCAUAGUAUGGCGCAGUGCGUGCCGGGCUGUGCUGAUGAGUGUUGGUCAGAAAAAAAUUACGUGUGUAGACAUGUAAUGGCAUGAAUAGAGGGUUUUUAGUUGUGCCAUCGGCUCAGGGACUGUAUCAUGUCGAUAUCUUGCUGUCACGAUACGGCAUGAUGGAUACGGCCCCUACCGCUAGGCACUUGUGUCACGCCCCGUGACCGCCAAUUCAGUCGGUUCGGGUACGUCAACGGACAGAGCCUCCCCUGCUCGCUCAAGGCUAACAACAACGAGAUCAUAUAUGUAAACAGUUGCCCAGAAAACAUUAACCUCAUACAUGAACUAAGCAAGUACUAAUACAAGCAAUCAACAAAAGAGAGAAAGAUCUAGCUAUUACAAGUCCAUUCAACAUAUACAUCGAGUUUACUUUUUUCAUCUCCAAAAUGUAUACAUGUUCAUCAACAACUCUCCAAAAUACAUAUACAUCAUGUCCUCGCAUCUAUACAGGGUGUACUAAUGCAUAAAGGAAAGCUGUUAGCUAACUAGGGUGCUAUGCCCUUACCGCCGUCCUCGCCCGGUCCGCUCGAACUCGGCCCUGCAACAAAGUGGGGUGAGAACUAUAUAAAUAUAGUUUCCAGUGGGUUCGGCCGCCGACUCCGCCGAUCUUCCCACUAGCUCUAAGCAGGCAUAAGUAGAUAGAUAGAUAGAUAUGAAAAUGAGCUGCUACAUAGUAACGAAACCUACAACAUGCUAUUAUGCCUCAAUAAAUAGAAAAAAUGCAUGAACAUAGUAAUGUACACUACUAACAUGGUACUAUGUCUCAAUCUGCAGGAUAUAUAGGAAAUGUCUACAUAGUAAUAAAAUCUACUAUCAAGUACUAUGUCUGAUAUCCAAUCUCAUCUCGGCUAACCCGAAGGUUAUGCCGAAACUCACAUCUCAAAUCUCGCCGGUGGGUAGACUCUGCGCUACACUCAUCCGAGACCAUCUGCUGGGUAAUCAAGUUACCCAAACGCGACGACGACUCCGGAGCUCAGUACUUGAGGUGGAGCGACUACGCCAAGGUUACAUAGACUAUGUGAGUACGAUUCAAUCCUCUCACUCGAGGAUAGUUAGUGCUUCUGCUGCACUAGUUCACAAGCUACUACUUAGGAAAUCAUUAUCUAUUCCAAAGUUCAUGUCAUAGUGUCUCUACUACACUAGUCCAAAUGCCACUCUUUGGUUCACAUGCUACUACUCAGGAAAUCAUCAUCUAUUCGUAAAUUCAUGUCAUAGUGUCUCUACUACACUAGUCCAAAUGCCACUAUUCGGUUCAUAUACAUGUCCAAGUUCAUCUUUUGUUCUUUGGCACUAUAGGAUUCCAUGUCAAGACCCAAUCCUCAUGUGUCCACUAAAUCAAAUGCUCAACUCACUAUAUGAUUUCUGCUAUGAAAACAUCCAAGGAAUUGAAGUGCAACUACUUAACAUAACCUAUAAUGCAUGAUAACAAUAUAUAUGAACAUAUGCUAUAAUAAAAUAACUCGGACAUAGAAGGUAGUUCAACUGCUUCGGGAUGGACACCCCCCACCUUCUGGUGAUGCCACGAAGCUAGAUUCCAACUUUCAUAAUUUUUCGCCGCCUAUCUCUCUCGACUGCGGCAAACGAAGCCAAAAACAGGCUUUCCUUUAGUAUCUUCGGGCAGACUCGUCGGAUCGCCGAACCGAGUUCACCAACACGUUCGAUUACCUAGCAAAUAGGUAUAAAAGAGAUCAAUCCCAAACUUUGGAUCUCAAUUUAACAAAACCCUCUUUCGGAACCCUAGAUGUUCUAUAUUGCAAGAAUACGCCAUAAGAACCAUCAAUUCAAGCAAAUAACAUCUACUUAGUAUCCAAGGGUUCUACCAAAACUAAUUCUAGAGUUUAAAACUCAAACCCUAGAAAUCUACCAUUAAAGCUCCAAGAGCUUACCCCUCCACAACUCCUCCAAGCCAAGGAAGAAGAUGAAGAAAACAAAAAUCUAUUUCCUUGCUUCAAUCUCCACCAAUCCCUUCUCUUAGAUCCGCCCUUGAGAGAGCUUCUAGAGAGAGAAAGAAAGAAAAAUGAUAAGGAGUGUGUUUUCUGGCUGUGAACAUAAGAGAGGGAGAUGGGGUCCAUUUAUAGGCUGCCACAAUUGCAAUAAAACCCCUCAACAAUUGCUAUUUGCAGCAUACUGCAAUCUGCAGUUUUCUGCACUUGGUACCGGUAUGCGUGACUUUUGUCAUCGGUUCACCAAUUACGCAACAGCUAAACCCGAGAGCUGCUUUCUCGGGUAGCUGAUCUGGUACCGGUACGCACCAGGGGUGUCAUCGGUUUAACAACCUAAAAUACUCAAACCCGAGAGCUGCUACUCUCGGUCUGCUAUGGGCUAUCGGUACCACCCUGAUGUUUAACCGGUUACAAAAUGUCCAACUGCAGUUUAGCACUUGUUCGACUUCUACUUCGCGCCGAGCAAUACUAAAACUCAAUUAUCUCUUUUAGAACUCAACUUUGACCCUUCCAACAUUAUUGGAAUGUCACAUGGACCAUGUCCAAGCAUCUCUCUCGCCACACUUUGGUCACUUUGACCAAAAGUGGUCUAUUACGAUGGGGAUUCAAUAUCUUAGAACUUGAAUCCUUGCUCAAUGGUUAAAUCUCCUAUAGUAAUCCCUUCUUUGUACUAUUGGUCCAUCGAGCCGAAUCAUUUCUUUCUUUAUCGAUUUUCUGAGCUGAAUCAUUUCUUUCAUUAUCGGCCUUCUGAGCCGAAUUGUUCUUCUUACAAUCAGCCCUUGAGCCACAUAAUUAGCAUUGGAUUUUUUUCAUCGGCCCUUUGGCUUAUCUAUUGGAAUAGCCGACUUCUUUGGUUGGCGUGCCAUACUGAACCUCGUGUAGAGUCUCGACUCUUGACUCCGAAUAUUCUAUUUUAACCAAACCGGCGGCUCUUCAGUAGUCGCCAGUGUCUCUGCCUCCGUCAAAAGUACCAGUUGCACUCCUUCUUCGGUGAUCCGGACGAAUGAGAUCUAGUUUGGGUCCGUGUCAGCCCAAUUUACAUGACCAAUGUCUUCUAUAUUCACGUCUACCAUCUGCAACCUCCCUUCGGCUGCUAUUUCUUCAACAUGUUCCCCAACCCACUGAAAUAACUUUUCGUGCUAGGUCAAAGAUACAUGUUCAUUGGCCUGGAUCCAAUCACACCCUAGUAGCAGAUUGUAGUGGCUACUGGCGUCCACUAUAAAGAAAGCGGUCCGAUGGUCUUGUAUUCAACCAUCAAAUCGGUUGUUAGUACCUCUCGCGCUUGCUGACCGCUUCCUGUAAAGUCGGUGUCGCGUCCCGACACCGCCAAUUAGGAUAGUCUAGGCUCACAAUAGACCCGCCGAAUGGACAUAGUCUCCCAUAUCCAUCCAAGGCGUAGCAAAGUCUGUGCAUCCUUUUCCAAUUAGAAAAGAUCAAUACUACACAUUUUACAUGAGGGCAAAUCAAGAGAACAAGAGAAUUUAAACUAUCUAUUACAUUGUUCGAACAAUCAUAAUUUGGGACUUUUACAAAAUACAUCCAUCCAAUUGUAUUACAACCUCGUCCUUUAUUUUAAAAACUUUUACUAUAAUUACAUCGUAUUGGCCAAAAUGUCAAAAUAUAUCUUAUGCCACGCGUAGGGAUAGAGAUCUAGCCUCAGUGGUCCAACUAUCUAGGGCGCAACACCUUUAUCAUGAUCCUCAAUGAAUCCACUUGUGCUCGGCUCUGCAAAAUAGUAGGAUGAGAACUAAAAGAAUUUUCUAGCGGGUUCGGCCACCGAUGUUGCUGAUUUUCCUACUAGGUCUAAUAAGGCAUAAAGAUAUAGAAUAAAAGUAAGCGAUAUACAAAUCUACUUUCACUCAAGGUACAUCAUGCAAUCAAUGCUAACCGCUAUGCCUUUACAACAUCAAAAUGAUCAAGUUCUCACUACAUGCAAUAUGUAUGAAAUACCAAAUGCUUAACAAUAACCUGUUUCUUUACUUUAACCCAAUUGCACCGGCUGACCCAUAGGUUGAGCCACAACUUACAUCACCAAAUCACGUGGGGAGGUGGUCUUUCACUCCCGAGCCACCACCAUGACCGUCUGUCGGGGAGGCACCGUCGUGACCCUACCACGCAUUUUUAUGACACUCCGAAGCUCACGGCUUGGGAGUCGUGCUCUCCACGAGCCAAAUACAGACUAUGUGAGUAUGAUCCCAUCCACCAAUCCCAUGGACCUACCACCUACCAGUGGGAACAACAUCCGAGGAUUCCACUAAAUCCCAAAUCGUCCUCCUACCAUGCAAUGCUCAAUAAUAAUGAGGCACAAAAUGUCAUGCUAUAAAGCAACGACCCAAUAUCACUUCGGUGCCCAAAGUUCAACAACUCAUGCCACUAGGUUUAAGCUCUAUGAUUCUCAUGGCUCCUAGUGUUUCACAAUUUAUCUAAGUCCACAAUGAGUUUACAUUUAUUUCUAGGGUUCUCAUGGCAAUGUUUAUUUCUCAUGCAUACAUUAUUUUGUCACAUAAUCAUAAGCUCUAAUUAAUAUUCCAAAGGAUGCCACCGCUAACCCAAGUUAUAUAGUUCCAAUACAAUAUAAUACAUGGUAAAAAAUAGUGACUUAGAUAUAGGUGAAAAUCCGGCUAUUUCGAUAGCACCACCCACCUCGCGUCGACGUCUAGAAGUGAGAGAACCACGCCUCGCGAUUUAUUAUCACCGAUUUGGCUUGACCCAAGGCUAAUAAAUGAAAAUCGACAAUUUCUUUCAAUUGGAUACUGUAGGCUCGUCAAAAUCCCAAUUCGAGUUGUCUCCUACUUUGAUUUACCCUUUAAUUAAGAAAACAAGAGAUCAAUUUCACUAAAAACCCUAUUUCCACAAACCCCCAAUGUUUACCCUAGGGUUUACACCAUCUCUGAUGAACACCCAAAAAUCUCUUGGGGUUUCAUGUUCAUCCUAAUCUAGGACCUCAUAGGGGUUCCUAAAACAUCAACAAAAAGGAACCUAAUCAACCCUAACUCAAAAUCUCAAAGCCUCACCUUAAGGUUCUCUUGCUAUAAAACUCCUCCUUGCGCUAGGCUUGCUCCAUGCUCCUCAAGCCUCUUGGUAAGUCAAAUCCCCUCCAAUCCCUUGGUUAGAAAGAACUCUAGAGAUAGAAAGUGAGAGAAAUAGGGUGGUGUGAGUGUAAUAGAGAAAAGGGAUCCUCUAAUUUCAAUAUUUGCACCCAACCAGAUUCCACACUUCGGGGCAUUAAGUACCAGUACUCGAAUGGGUGUAUCGGUACUCGGACACCUAGUUUCGAUACUCAGGGUCCAGUCCUGCAGAAUCCAUACGUUGGUUUUUUGGACACAAUACAGAAUUCUGAUACCCUAUUUUGGUACGAAAACUUAGGGUGACAAUCAGUAGCUUUUGCAGAUUUCAGAUCUUGGAGCUGAUUUUCGCAUCCGAUUUACGUCGAAUACACUUGUACACCCUCAGAACAAUCUCCCAAAUCAUCCAAAUGUCCUCUCAGGCCAAUUUACACUAGGACUCCCUAAUUUGGAGAAGUCCAGUACACUACAGUCGAUCAUAGUCAAGUCCGUGGGUUUGAAUUAAUCUUCGCUCUUACUUAGUUUCUUAAAAAACGAUGCGGGCAUGAUAUUGACUAUGGCCCUAUCGUCGAUCAUCACUCGACCAAUAGGCCAUCAUUCUAUCAAAGCGCUGAAAUACAAGGGUCGGACAAAUCUAGUCUGCUAUCGAUGGCUUUUCGAACACCACUAUAUCGGCCGCUUUAAUAUUUUCAAGUUGAAGCUGGGCCACUGCCAGCUCCUCUCUAUGUUGAGGUUGCUCCUUAAACUCCGCUGACAUUGCUUUGAAUGAUUACGGCAUAGCAUACACCAUAUUUACAUCUGUCGAACUCUCUUUUGCUGGGGCUUCUUGAGUUUUCUAUUUUUUCUCUUUAGAUUCUUUUGUAAUUUUGGCCAAAGAAUCACUCUUUGGUCAAAUAUCUCUUUCCUUCGGUGGCCACCUCUCUAGUUUAAUGAAGGUUAGAGAAGCAAUCUUCUUUUCUAGUUCUUUGCGAGUGACCUUUUUCGUCGGCUUUGCUGUGGCUGACUGAUUUAUUUUGGAUUUCAACCAUAGUACAGGGUUUGAACCGCCCGCUUUAUUAUCAUGCUUCAUGGGCUGAUAGAGCGGUUGCUGCACAGGUCGUCUCCAAGUGUUCGGUCUUAUCCAUUUUGCUUCUUCCCAGUGAUUUCUCACUUCGGCUUGCAUUCUUUGUUGCCGCAGCUUUUAUGUCUUUGUUAGCACCGGCCCAUGCUAUCGGCCGACACCAUUGCCGCAAACCAUUGCUUGGUCGGCACGUUUGUAGGUACCUUCACUAUCAUGAGGUGUUCUCUCAAGAUCUCUCUCAUUUUCCAUAGUCUCAGCCAUGGCUGGAUGCCGAGCUCAUUCACCAAUUUUCGACCGAGAAAUUCUAUAUCCCUCUCGGUCAUUCCUUCAAAUUCCAGUUCGAGUCUCGGCCUUGGCUGCUGGUGCCAUACGGCUUGAUAUCCCGUGUGCCUUUGUUGAGUGGUGAAGGGUUGUCUUGGAUAGUCCCCUCAGGAUGUCUUUUCUUUAGUCUGGUAGUACUCGUCUAGGACCUUCUGAAUCGGUGGGUCUUUUGCAUCCUUGGUGGAGUUCACUUCUUCCUCAGAGUUGUUGGAAGCCUCCUCCAAGCAUUCUUCAGAGUGGCCGACAGCAUCGGGUGUCUCCCAGUCCUGGGGAAAAGCCAUGAACUGGUUCCAUUUACCGUAUGCCUUUUUCUCACGUAUGAUGGCUUCUCAGUUCUGACACGUCAUUUCGGCUUUGCAUCUGAUGCAAAGUCGAAGUAGUCCUCACGUCGUGGACACAUCUGCUUCAAAUUUCUCCUCAUAGAGUGGCUUUCUUUCCUUUGAUAUCCGCCAUGUUUACCUGCGAGGAAUAAGGAUUUUGGUCAACUUCCAUAUUACUUUUAUUUUUUUGGUCGGCAAUUAAACACCAGCCGAUCCUCAUUCAACUCUUUUUAAAUCAGGCUUUUAAAGGCUGUGCAAUUAUUAGUUAUGUGGCUCCAUGAAUAGUGCCAUUUGUAAUAUUUUCUUUUCUUUAAUUCCUCUCCUAAAGGUAACAUCUAACCUUCUUAGAGUUUAAUUCUUCCAUCUUUAUAUAAUUGAUCGAAUAUUUGAUCGGUCUUAGCGACGUUGAGCAAAUAGGUGUAUGCCGCCAUUCGUGCUCUUGUUUUGGUAGCCUUUGCUGGCCUGAUCAGCAGCGCACAUUUCUAUGGCUGACGGUUUUUCACAAUUUCAACUGCAUAUUCUUGGCCUCAUCAGCCGAGUCUUCUAUUGUAAGGUAUUAGAAUCAUCUUGAGUUGAUCCUUCUUCAAUGAAAGAGAUUUUUUUUUUUUCUUUUCCUUUCCUCCAUUCCUUGUUUUAGCUCCAACAUUGCCGAUCCUCACCGUUUUCUUUCGUGAAUUGUUCAAAUUGGGCAACCCGAAUGCUCAAAUUGAACAAAUAUAAAAAAAUAUUUAUCUUUGAAAUGGUCUUUUAUUUUGAAAUGCAGACUAUUGAGCGCCAUUUUGGCAAAUUCUGAUUCCGGUAUUUUUAUGAAACAACUGGUUCCUAUAUGUUUUGAAACUGUUCAAAUAUUCCUCAACUGUUUCCCUCGACUUUUGUCGGUAUAGGUCUAGAUCGGAUAUCGACAAUUCCAGUUCCGACCUAUAGAAUUGUUCAUGAAACUUUCUUUCUAAUUCGUCUCAUUCUCGGACGAAAUUGGUAGGUAAACUCGUAUACUAGGUGAACACCAUUUUAGUUAAUGAGUGUUGAAUAAUCGAAGUUUAAAAAACGGAUCUGCUGGCGCUUCUCUACACUGUGCCAUAAAUCGAGCGACUUGUUCCAUAGUAUUCUCGGUCUCAUCUCUCGAGAAUUUAUCAAACUUUGACAUUUUUCAGUUUGGCAGAUACGGAUAUUUCGUAUCAACGUUUGCAGGAUAUAGGGAUCUAAAUACGGGCCGUAUUGUUGGCCUUGCCCCUACACCAAAUGUAUUUCGGAUCGCCCCUUUAUCUAAACAUAUUGCUCAUUGUUCUCUAUUGCUGGAGCAGGAACCAGGGCCGGAGCCACAUUUGGCCUUGGGGAGGGGGGGGUCCUUAGUUUUGCAUUGCGGGAUUGAGUCCCUGCAAUAUGUUGGGUCCCUGCCUCUAGUGGGGCCUUGCCCCUUAGCCUUCAUACUCACGUUUUGGGGCUGAUAGGCUGACAAAGGAGACAGGGGAGGUAAGCCCCAUGCAAUAUCUGGCUGCGGACCGACGUUUAUAUUCGCCGGUCUAUAGGCAGCCUAGAAAGGCGUCAUUUUUUGUUGUGCUUGUGUGACCACUGGCGUAAGAGGAUUUUGGGCUGCCGGCGUAGUUAGGGGUCCUUGCGGACCUCCGUAAGUUUUCUCGUUUUGGGCUAGUAGUUGCCUGAUUCGAGUAAUGUUUUCAUUGGUAAUGGCCAGUACUGCGUACAUUUGAGUGAUACUUCGAUAGCUAUUUUGAUCUAAAGUUUGCAGAAUUCGAGUCAUUUGGCCGAGUAACUGAGUCAAUUCGGCUCCUGAUGAGCCGAGUGUCCUCUAUUCCACCUCAUAUUAGUAACACCGUUUAAUGCUCGUUCACAUUUUCGGCGCCAUUGGCUUGGUUAUUCCUUGAAAACCUAGGAAUUACUCUGUUUCGGAGGUUCAUAGCAUUAUCAUCAGCCAUAAGAUAAAGAUUAAACGAGGAUUUACCUAAGGGCGUUCUACCGAGUGUGCCAAAAAUUGCUGCAAGCCGAAUUUAGGGAUCGUUGACCCGAUCAAAACUCUCUUUUGGGAAGCGAGCCGGGAGAGGGGUUGGCUCUUGAUGAUGACCCUCGAAUGCGCCCAAAACAGAAUCAAGCGAUCUGCUGAGGAGGGAUCAGCUCUGCUAAGUUCGAACACUCGAAUAUAUUACUUGACUCGGUUGAACGAGCUGAGUGACUUCAAUAUAUUUCAAAAGAAUAGAGAUGUAUCGAGAGAUAUGUCUUACCGCUAAUAUAAUUAACAAGGAAGCCUAUCUUAACAGACUACUCCUAGGAAAGUGACAAGAGUGAAAAAUAAAAGAAAUUGAAAUUGUAAGUCUCUUGUACACAAAAAGACUUUUUGUACAGGCGAGUUUUGUUUAUUUAUAAUUCUGCCUGCGGUUAUUUAAUUAAUCCUUGUCAUAGGGGUGAAUUUUGGCCACGUCCAUUUUUUCUCGGAUUUCGCUGUGGCUGUUUCUUCCCAUGUCUUUGGUUUCACCUAAAACUGCUUUCUCGUUUCAGGUGCACCUCUCUCAACUCUAGGUGUACCACGUCCUCCACAUGGUUUAGCCUUUCCUUCCACGUGGUGCCAUUUUUGUGCCACCAACAAAUCCAAAAUUCUUCGAGAUCUAUUGCUAUAAAUAUGUGUGCCAAUGAUAUAAGAAGCUUCACCUAUAUCUUUCAUCUCAAAAUUUUUAAAAGAAAAUUUUUGGUCUCCUUAAGCAAACCAAAUCACUACUUGCAAGCAGAAUAUCAUUUACAUACAAGAUUAAGAAAAUAUAUUUAUUUCCACUAACUUUAAGAUAUAUGUAUCAAUCCACGAUAUUUUUUAUGAAACUGAAUGUAAUAAUUACAUCAUGAGACUUGAUGUACCAUUGGCGGGAGGCUUGUUUGAGUCCGUGUAAGGACUUUUUUAGUCUGCAAAAAAGAUAAUUGUUUUAUUUAAAAAACUCUUCUUUUUCAUGGAUGAGUUAUGAAAGUCAUAAUAAUUUUUAAUAAAUCCUUCUUAAACGCCGGAGAAAAAAAUUUAUGUUAAUCAAUUAAUAUCUUUCUUAACGGUAAUUAAAAUAUUACUUGGCCAUUUAGACCACAGUCAUAGUCUUGUAAUUUUUGGUAAAUUUUAAUACUUAUUUUUUCAAGUUUUUAGGGAAAUUGAGAUGGUGACAAUAUAUGCUCCAAACACUACAACAGAAUUAGGUUAUAGUGACACAUUUUUGGAACACUUUUGUAUAAGUGUCUUAUAUAUUUAUGCCAAAAUUUUUUAAAAAAUCUACUAAAGCCUAAAUAUAAAGCCUAAUUCAACCAAAAAUAAAAGAUUACUCUACUCAACCCACCCCACCCAGUCUAUUCGGCCCGAUUACAAAAAGAAAAGGAAAAAAAAAAGGAAAAUCGAUCACCAUCAUCCCUUCUCCCCUCACUCAAUCCAUUGAAACUCUAGAUAAAGAGCCCCUCGCUGUCCUCCUCCUUUGCGCCGCAGCCGACGAGGUAGCCAUCGAGGGGUGGUAUAGCCAUCCAUGUCGUCAAGUACUCCGGAGUGUCGGGCUAUCAGGACAGAGUUGAUAUCCGCAGACAAUCCCGGGUUUGAGAACGAGUUGAGUCUCCUUACCCAAAGGGAUGAGGAUGUGAGUUGAGGGCGACCUCAAGGGAUUCGCCAUGGAUUGGGUAAAUAAAAGAAUAAACCGUCAUUGAACAUGGUUGAAUUGGACAUAGUAGCAUGAUAGUAAACCUUUACUAAAUGAUGCAUGCAUUCAUAUCUCUGAUUAUAGGCAUAGUACCAUAGCUUUCCUAUUAUGUCAUUUACUGUUUUAGAUAUAUAUCUAUCUAUCUAUCUGUUGUUACUUUGCCCACUUGGACCUAGUGGGGAGAUCGGCGGAGUCGGCGGCCGAGCCCACUGGGAACUAUCGAAGAUAGUUCUCACCCCACUUCACUGCAGGGCCGAGUGUAGGCGCGCCGGGCGAGGAUCGCGGCAAAGGCAUUGCGCCCGAGCAGUAGUAUAGUAGCUUCUUUUAUGCAUUAGAGUACCACUUUGUAUCUAGAUGCUUUAUAUUUUUGGAAGAGCUAAUGAUGUAAUUGAGAUGAACAUGUAUUCAUUUUGGGAAAGAUGUAAUUAUAAAAAAGAAUGUAAAUGAAAAUGAAAAGAGCGCUAUGUGAUGUAAUAGCUAGUAGAUCUCUCUUUAUUUCACUUGUAUUACUUGUGAAUUACUUGCUCUUGUUUGUUGGCACUGGUUGUGCCCGUUGAUUGUGUAUGUAUUGAAUUUAACAUUCUGGGUGAAUUCUUGUAUACAAUCUCGUUGUUGAGCCUUGGGCGGGCAGGGGAGGUGCUGUCCAUCCGGCGUCUGUUCGACUCGCCCGGACCGGACCAAAUUGGUUGCGGUCUCGGGGUGUGACACUCGCUCUCCUCCUCCUUUGCGCCGCAGCCGAUGACGUAGGAUUCCCACGGUUGCUAAAUGUUUAAAUAAGUAUUGAUAAAUUAGCAGUAUUUUUUUUAGGUUAUAGCGAUACUCUUAAACUGUCACUAUAUGCCUAGCGACUCCACAUAUAGCAAUAUUUUUUAAAAAUAUUGGUAAUUUAGCUAGCAGCACUUAUUUUGAACUGUACCGAUAUUUAAAAGUGUCGCUAUAUAUUAUUUUUAUUGUAGUGAAGUAAUUAGAAAUGUGAAGGAAUGUUACCGAGGGACGUUAGAUUGGGCUUUUGAUGCAAUGCACAUGCCAUGGGAGAAGUGCAUUAUUUAAUCCAAUACAAUAAACCUACAAAACUUUAUGCUCAAAAAAGUUAGAAUUAUUACAUCGACCGACCAACAACGUGCAAUCACUCUCACUAUCAGGUAACGUAAUUGCUCAUGCGAUCAUGUGACUUUUAACCAAUUGAAUAAUGGGUGACUCGGAUCCAUGAAAAGGUACGAAAUAUUAUUUAAAAAUUAUUACCUGCACUCUACAAAGUGAAAAACCUUUUCUUCAAUUCCAAGACAAGUUUCAACUUAAAUAACAAUUGACCUCUGUGGUUUUGGUAUUUAAUUGAUGUGGCUAGGAUAGGUAUUAAUUAGUUGACUAUAAUCGUACCAUGUACAUAGUUAAGAAUUGACCAAAAAAGUUUGUGGGCAAUCUUUUAAAGUCGCUAAGCAAUGUGUGAAAUAAUUAAUUGGAAUCCCAAGGGGUCAUAGAUUACAGUAGUUGAAAAUAUAUAUAUUUCUCCGUUAUUAUUGGUACAUUUUAUUAAAAGCAUUAUUAGGAGAAACUUACGAAAGGCCAAUGUGGUCUAUUAAUUAUGCGUAAUUCAAUGUAUUUUAUAUUGGUGGAAAAUAUGAAGUGUAAAACAAGGAAUAAAAAGUGCUAUAUUUCAUAAACUAUAUAUGAGAAAUACUUUAUAAUAUGAGAUGUUUUUACUACCUUUGUAACAGGUAGUCCUUAUUACUGAGAACUAAAGUUGAAACCAAGCAAGGCAGUAUAAAACUUGAGGCCAUAUUUGAUAGAGAGAUAUUCCAGAACAAGAGGGAUAUCUUUUAGUUUGUAUCCAAACAGUACAAUAAUUAAGUAGAACAAAUUGUUCCGAUCAAAACAGGAUGUGUUCUGAAAAAAUCUGUUAAAAUUGUUUCUAAGCAAACUAAGAACAACUUUGUUCUUUUCUUUACUUUAUUAGAUAAAUAAAUAUAUAAAUAAAUAUAUUAAUAUAAAUACUAUCUUUAUGGUAAUAUAUUUAUACUUAAAUCUUAUUAAUUAUAUAAUUAAAUAAAAUUAAUUUGACAUAUUAUUUAUUUUAUUUUUUUUAUCAUUUAUAUAUUAAUACUUAAUUAUUUUAUUUUUUAUUAAGUAUUAUAUAUUAAAUUAUUUUUUCGUAUAUUAUAUAUUUUUUUUAAAUUUGUAUUGAAAUUUAUAGUGUUAUUAGUUAAAAUUAUAAGAAUAUUGCUAGUAUUAUAUUUUAUUCAUUACAUAUAUUAUGGAUAAAUUUAUGAAAUAAACUGUUGUAUAAAAUAAAUUAUUAUAUGAAAUAAAUAAAUAUAAGAUAUAAAUUAAAUUGUUUUAUAAAAUAAUUUAUAUAAAAUAUACUGAUAUAAAUGAAUUAUCUUAAUCUUUUAAAUAAAUGAAUUAUUUUAAUCUUUUAAAUAUAUUUAAAUAUUAUUUUAGACUUUUUAUCCAAAUACAACAAAAUUUAUAGUUGUUCUAGCUUAUACUGUGAUAUUUCCUACUCUUGAGAACAAUAAAAGUACCCCAAGAAUUUAGUUCUCAAAUAAAACGCAGUCUCAAAGCACAAGAUAGUCUCAACUACAUAUGCUGUAGCACUCAAUUGUGAGAGGGAAAAACAAUGAAAGGAAAAUCAAACCGAGCUCAUUUGUCCAAUUUGGACCAAUAGGGCUCUAAUAAACUAAGUUGUAACAAGGCCAAGCAGCUUGGCCAAGGUUCCAGGCAUAAGGGGGGUAGGAAGUGUAUCUGAACCAUCUUACUUGAGAGUAUUGGGCCAAGCCAAAGCCGUACUAGGUUGUUUGGGCUUGGGUUUGGUUAAAAGAUACAAAAUUUUUUUAUUAUUGGGCAUCUUUUAACAUCUUUUCUUUUUUAUUUACCCAAAAAGAUUUUAUUAUUUGGUAAAUGAGACAUAUAAUAAAAUAUCAGAGAAGUCAUACUAUAUUUAGUUUUUAAGUAAUUAUAUUGAAUAAAAUAAAUCAUCUUAUAGAUGGAAUAUAUUAUCCUACUAAAUCGUUGCUGCACAAAGUUUUUUUUGAGUUAAAUUCAAAUUUCUAACAUGCAAGCAUGAAAAAGAACAAAUCUGUUAGAUAUGACUCGAAAUCUAUUAUCGAAUCAGGUUUGGGUUUACGACUAGCCGACAGCUUCGCGGUGCGACCAAAUUAGAAAAUUAAAUUGUGAAGGGAAAAUGAAUGUCUACGGUGGGUAACGGAGGGCUUGGAUCCGAAACCCGUUAUGAAUUUUUUCUCUUCGUUUUUGCUUUAGAGGCGUGUGAUCAUGGUUGGUUGUAAUUGGAAGAAUAUUGUAUUCCCUUUCGUUUUGAUAGUGAAAUUCUCUCCUCCCUCGCCCGUUGUUUUUCCCUGUAAAGGAUUUUCCACGUAAAUCUGUGUGUUCUUUCAUUUCUGUUUGUGGUUUGAUUCUUUGUGUUCACCAUUUUUGUUUCCGUUUGUGCGUUUGUCGUAACAAACUGGUAUUAGAGCCCUAGGUUCAUCGAUUAGGGUUCUCUUCAUCAAUGGCGGCCAUGAAAUACGACCUCCCUUUACUCGACCACGGGACACGAUUUACGUUAUGGCAUCUGAAGAUGCGCGCAAUCCUGGCUCAGAUGGACCUAGAAGAUGCGCUGCUCGGGACGGAGAAGAUGCCUAUGUCCCUUAGUAUGGCGGAGAAGGAGAAGAUGAACCGAAAGGCCCUUACGCAGAUCCAACUUCACCUUUCAAAUGAGAUCUUACAACAUGCCAUCAAGGAGAAGAACGCUGCGAGCUUAUGGCUGAAAUUGGAGUCGUUAUGCAUGACAAAAAGUCUCACCAACAAACUCCACCUGAAGCAGAAGUUAUAUUCUUACCAUCUGACAGAAGGUAAGAGCAUUAAGACCCAUCUCGACGCAUUUAAAGAAAUUAUUACUGAUCUGGAGAUGAUAGAAGUUAAAUAUGAUGAUGAAGAUUUAGCGUUACUACUUUUAUGUUCUCUACCGUCUUCGUAUAGAAAUUUUAGAGAUACUAUGCUCUAUGGAUGUGAUACCAUCUCUUUGGAAGAUGUCUCAACUGCGCUCCUCUCGAAAGAGAGGAUCGAUAAGGAGAUGAGUGGUACCACUGAAAGUCAGGCAGAGGGUCUAUUUACCAGAGGAAGAUCCAGGCAAAGAAAUUAUAGUGACAGUAAAGAAAAGGCUAGAUCUAAAUCCAGGCAUAAGAAUUUGAUCUGUAAUUACUGUAAGAAGAAGGGCCACAUUAAGGCGGACUGUUUCAAAUUGAAAAGGAAGGAAUAGACCAAAGGAAAGAAUGAUCGAAAUGGAAAGGAUAGCUCGAAAUCUGCUGAAGCCAGUGUAGCAGAAGAUUAUAGUAGCGAUGGGAAUGUUCUGUUGGUCUGCGAUGAUAAAUCCAGAUCCAGCACAGAGUGGAUUCUAGAUUCUGGGUGCUCAUUCCACAUAUGUCCCAACAGGGAAUGGUUUUCCACUUUUGAAGCUGUUAAUGGUGGAGUUGUUUUGAUGGGGAAUGAUGCAUCCUGCAAAGUUGUUGGACGAGGAUCGGUGAACAUUAAGAUGUUUGACGGAAUAGUCAGAACGCUUACCGAUGUCAGAUAUGUUCCACAAUUAAAGAGAAAUUUAAUCUCUUUGAGUACCCUAGACGCUAAAGGAUACAAAUUCACUGGUGAAGAUGGAAUUCUGAAAGUCGUUAAAGGAGCUAUCGUUGUGAUGAAAUGUCGAAGGCAAGAAGGAAAACUGUACGUGCUGCAAGGUUCGACUGUGACAGGUGGAGCUGCGGUUUCCUCUUCAUCUAUGUCCGAUUCAGAUGUCAUAAAAUUAUGGCAUAUGAGGCUGGGACAUAUGAGCGAAAGAGGAUUGAUGGUGCUGAGCAAGCGAGGACUCCUUUGUGGCCAAAAUACAGGAAGUCUGGAAUUCUGCGAACACUACGUAUUUGGAAAGUAGAAAAGAGUCAGUUUUACGAAGGCAGUCCACAGAACCAAAGGAACUCUUGAUUACAUCCAUUCAGAUCUUUGGGGGCCAGCACCGGUGCCCUCUAAAGGUGGAGCGAGAUAUAUGUUGACCUUCAUAGAUGACUACUCCAGGAAUGUUUGGACAUUUUUCUAGUUGCAGAAAAGUGAUGUACUCAAGACCUUCAAGCAGUGGAAGAUUUUGAUUGAGAAGCAGACAGGAAAGCAAAUUAAGCGUCUUCGCACUGACAAUGGUUUGGAGUUUUGUUCAGGAGAAUUCAAUGAAUUCUGUAAAGAUGAAGGAAUCGAGAGACAUCGUACAGUUGCCUACACACCGCAGCAAAAUGGCGUGGCAGAACGUAUGAACAGAACGCUGAUCGAGAAGACAAGAUGUCUACUCUCAAAUGCAUGAUUUGGCGAGGAGUUCUGGGCAGAAGUUGCAUCUACAGCUUGAUAUUUGGUGAACCGGUCUCUAUCGACUUCCAUUGAUCUGAAAACUCCAAAAAAGGUAUGGUCUGGCCACUCUCCUAGUUAUUCUGAUUUAAGAAUUUUCGGAUGUCCUGUUUAUGCACAUGUUAGUCAAGGAAAACUGAAACCUAGAUCUAAAGAAUGCAAGUUUCUCGGUUAUGCUUCUAGUACUAAAGGUUUUCGUUUGUGGUGUCCUGAAGAUAAGAAAAUUAUUAUUAGUAGAGAUGUCAAGUUUAACAAAACUGCUAUGCUUCGCCGAAAGGAGGAGUCACGUGUUUCUUGUGAUACAGGUGCAGAUGCAGAUGGAUCGGAGAAAACUGUCGAGGUGGAGUUUCAAACUCAUUCUCAAAAUCAGAUCACUCCAGCACCAGGUACCACUUCGAUUCUGCUCCUACAAAACCACAGGCGCCACCACAGACAGACACAUAUUCGAUAGCCAGAGAUCGACCGA